GGAAAACAACAUAUCCCACGGACAUUCCGAACACUACUCCGCAUCCAUAACCUAUCAACACCACUUUCCAACCAAAAGCAAUGUUUGAUUUUGAGCCAUCUUUUUCAAGCACAUUUGGAGGUGCUGGAUCAAUGAUGUUGCAACCUUUCGAGACCGGAAACCCACACAGUCCCUUAUUUCCUUCAUAUGAAUCAUUUCCAAAUGUGUUGAAUUGUUUGCCUUGAGGAAUCUGACCAUGGAGUUGAUUUUCAGAAACAUUGAAGGACGAAAGAAAUGGCAGAUCUGCCAAUCUAUUUGGAAUCGUCCCAGACAACCUGUUUGAAGAUAGGUCCAACCAUUCAAGACUUGUCAAAUUCCCUAUUGAGGUGGGGAUAUCACCAAUAAGGUUAUUAUGAGAAAGGUUGAGCCCUUUCAGUAAGUUAAGCUUCCCAAUAACCUUUGGAAUACCCCUUUCAAACUGAUUGUUUGAUAGAUCAAUGAUCAUCCACAUGGUGAAAAUUUUCACCAAUUCCCUAUCUUGUCCUUUCAUAACAAUUCCAAUGGAAUAGGUAUAGAAGCCAACUCCAUAAUCAUGCACCCCCAUGUAUGACACUGUACUACCAAUCUUCUCUAGAUUUAUGAUAGCCUUGAAGCUGUUGAUGUAUCUCACUGGUAGGGGUCCAGAAAAAUAAUUACUUGAGAGAUCAAAAAUUUGGAUUUUAGAGAAAAAAGGGAUAGACUUGGAGCUAUUGACACAUAAGGAACCAUGCAGUUGAUUUGACUUCAAUACAAGAACUUGUAGCUGUGGAAGACUUCCCAACCAGUGAGGAAAUGUAUCAUUGAUCUUGUUGUUACCAAGAUCUAGCACUUCCAGACCUCUACAAUUAAGGAUGGAUGGUGUCAAAGGCCCUUCUAACAGAUUUCCAUUUAAGUUGAAAUUACUCAAUCGGCAUCCCUUUGCAAAUGCUGGAGGAAUCGUCCCAUAAUACUUGUUCUUCUUCAGAUUCAAGAAUAGAAGGCUGUUGCUCAAAUUUCCAAAACAUUGUGGAAUUGUUCCACUCAAGUUAUUGUGGGACAAAUCAAGAAUUUCAAGAAAAGCGGCAUUGCAUAUUAAAGAAGAGACCUCUCCAUUGAAACUAUUAUUUGAGAUCAAAAAGACUCUUAUGGUCGAAGCUGGAAUCGGAAGAUUUCCACUGAUCAAAUUGGAGCUUAAGUCAAGAACAUCAAUAUUCUUCCAUGGAAAGUGCUCAACUUCUGUCAAAGUGUUGUGAGAUACAUUUAAGUGAGUCAAAGAGCCAUUCCCCACCUCUCGCAUCCACUGUGGAAUCUUGCCUUCAAUUUUGUUGCAAGAGAGGUGUUGAAGUAAUGGUCAGCAUGCAGCAACCAAGACUGUCAAAGGCACUACAUGCAGAAGCUGCUGGUUCACCUAGUCAGCAAGCUGUUUAUGUUUCAUUUUGUAAUUUUAAGUUAGAGUAAUGUAACUUAGUUGCUUUAUAACUAUGUUAGGUUUAUGUUUGAUGUAAUUUUGAUGUUGACUGAGCUGAUAAAUCAGCUUUGUUUGUUUAUUCAAGCUAAUUAGCACAAGUUACUAUGUGUAUUAGUGGUAGUAGGUGAAGUUUAGGUCAACCUACUGUUUUGUCAAGAUUGUAAACUUGUUUUAUGUAUUGGCUUUGUGCCAUAUUUAGUUUGAUGAAUGAAUUCAAGAAGUUAUCAUCCAUAUGCUCUCCAUUUUUAGUUUUGCUUAAAAAUCCAUUUGAGUUUUCUGCUUUGUUUCUCCUACAAGUCACGAGACUUGCCAUACAAGCAUUCUGCUGAAGCUUGCUGCUGCUGCCUCUUGCACCAACAAUUGGUAUCUAGAGCCACAUUCUUAGAGGACCUGUUGUAGUUCAGUAUCAAAACGAUGGCAUCAUCAGGUUUUUCACCAGCUUCACCACCUGUCUUCAAUGGAGAGGGCUUCAACAUUUGGGCAGUUAAGAUGAGGACUUACCUGCAGGCAUUCGACCUAUGGGAAGUUGUUAACUCAGAUGCUGAGCCAGCACCUCUUCGAGCUAAUCCAACAGUUGCUCAAAUAAGGCAACACACUGAUGAAAGGACAAAAAGGCACAAGGCCAUGUCAUGCAUACAGAAUUGUGUGACAGAUGUGAUCUUUAUGAGGAUCAUGGCCUGUGAGACACCAAAGGAGGCUUGGGACAAGCUGAAAGAAGAAUUUCAGGGGACUGAGAAAACAAGGCAACAACAGCUGCUCAAUUUGAGAAGAGAUUUCGAAAAUCUCAAAAUGAAAGAGGAAGAAACAGUUAAGCAGUACUCAGACCGGAUUAUGGCUGUUGUAAACAGCAUAAGGCUCCUAGGAGAGCAAUUCAGUGAAGCUAGAAUGGUUGAGAAAGUCAUGUCCACUCUACCAGAGAGGUAUGAAGCUAAAAUUUCAUCCCUCGAAGACUCAAGGGACUUGACAACUAUCUCCUUAACUGAGCUAAUCAAUGCCUUGUAUGCAUAAGAGCAAAGAAGAGCUAGCAGACAAGAGGAGCACCAGGAAGGGGCUUUUCAAGCCAAAGAAGCCUCGAGCAUCAAAACUCAUAAAGGCAAAAAGUUCUGGAAAAACAAGCCUAAGCCUGAUGCUGCUAGGAGCAGUGACCAACUCUGCAGACAUUGUAAAAGAGCUGGUCAUCCAGAAGAUAGAUGCUGGUUUAGACCAGAUGCAGUAUGCCAAAACUGCAAGAAAAAAGGCCAUGUUGAAAAAGUUUGCAAGAAUAGAAGCAAACCAAGACAGAAUCAAUUUCAGCAACAAAAGGUGGAAGCUCGAGUAGCUGAAGAAAGUAGUGAUCAAGAAGAACAUGUUUUUGCUGUGUCAUGUGCAGCAAAUCAGAAGAAGGGUUCAAAGGGCUGGCUUCUAGACAGUGGGUGCACAAACCACAUGUCACCAGAUGCAACUAUCUUCAAAACCCUGGACAGAACCUGCAAAACCAAAGUAAAAAUUGGAAAUGGUCAGUUAAUCAAUGCUGAAGGAAGAGGAGAUGUGCUGAUUCAUACUUCUACAGGUGGCAAAAUCAUUUCAAAUGUACUUUUGGUACCUGAAAUCGAUAGGAACCUUCUCAGUAUAACUCAACUACUUGAGAAAGGUUACUCAGUUGUUUUCAAGGAGAAAGAAUGUCAAAUUUUUGAUCCAAGUGGAUCAAAUCUUAUAACAGUCACCAUGACUGAUAAAUGUUUUGAAGUAGACUGGCCAAAUGACUCACAUUCAGCCUGCAUAGCCUCCACUAAUGACUCGAGACUCUGGCAUCAGAGGCUUGGACAUGCAAACUACAAAUCCAUAGCCCGCAUGGUCAAUGAAGGUCUGGCAGAAAAUUUCAUUGAUUCAGUGAAGAAUGAUGAGCUUUGUGAGAUAUGUCAGCAAGGAAAAUUGGCAAGAUUGCCAUUUCCAACAAGCACAACAUGGAGAGCAUCAGAGAAGCUCCAGCUUGUGCAUACAGAUGUGUGUGGACCAAUGAAGACUGAGUCUCUCAAAGGAAGCAGGUACUUUAUUUUAUUUAUUGAUGACUUAACAAGAUACUGCUGGAUUUAUUUUCUAAAACAGAAAUCAGAAGUACCAUCUAUGUUCCUGAAGUAUAAGGCUGCUGUUGAAACUGAGUCUGGUUGCAAACUUAGAGCAAUGAGGUCAGAUAAUGGAACUGAGUACACCUCAGCUCAGUUCCAAGUCUACUGUGAAGAAGCAGGUAUCAAACACCAGUUGACUAAUGUGUAUACACCCCAACAGAAUGGGGUCAGUGAAAGGAAAAACAGAAGCUUGAUGAACAUGGCAAGAUGUCUUCUGUUUGAGAAGAAUUUGCCCAAAAGUCUGUGGGCUGAAGCUGUUAACACAGCAGUUUAUCUCUAAAAUAGGCUCCCAACCAAGGCUCUGGCUGAGAAGACUCCAUUUGAAGCCUGGUUUGGGUUUAAGCCAUCACUGGCUCAUCUCAGAACCUUUGGUUGUCUGUGCUAUACUCAAGUUCCAGCUGAGAAGAGAAGCAAGCUAGACAAAAGAGCUCAAGCAGGGAUCCUGAUCGGCUACAGCUUGGUUAAGAAGGGCUACAGAAUUCUAGAACCUGCUACAAACAAGAUAUUGGUUAGCAGGGAUGUUGUUUUCAAUGAAAAAGGACACUGGAAUUGGGAGAAGGCUGAACCAGAGGCAGUGGCUGAAGAUCUGGCAGUGGACCAAGUUGAAAAUGGUGAAAACACACCUGAAAUGGAUGUAGAUGAUGUUCCAAUCAGAGGCACUCGAUCACUGGCUGAUGUUUAUGAAAGAGCACAAGUGGCUACUGUUGAACCAAAUUGCUUUGAAGAAGCAGAAAACCAGGAGGACUGGAAGCAAGCAAUGAUUGAAGAAAUCAGAAUGAUUGAAAAGAAUCAGACCUGGAGUCUGGUUGAUAAACCAACAAACAGGAAGAUUAUUGGUGUCAAAUGGGUUUAUCGAGUAAAGAACAAUGCUGAUGGUAGCCUAAACAAGUUAAAGGCUAGAUUGGUUGUGAAAGGCUUCAGUCAAAGGUAUGGAUCAGACUACCUGGAAACCUUUGCACCAGUGGCCAGGUUAGACACUAUUAGACUGCUAGUUGCCUUAGCAGCACAAAAACAGUGGCUGAUACACCAACUUGAUGUAAAAUCAGCAUUUCUGAAUGGAUUCCUUGAAGAGGAGAUUUAUGUGGAGCAACCUCAAGGUUUCAAGGUGUCUGGCAAAGAAGAUAUGGUGUACAAGCUCAACAAAGCCUUGUAUGGCUUGAAACAGGCUCCAAGGGCCUGGUAUAGCAGAAUAGAUGGCUAUCUGACCAGUCAAGGAUUUGAAAGAAGUCUUAGCGAGCCAACUCUGUAUGUUAAAUCAACUAGUGCUGAAACUCAGCUCAUUGUCUCAAUAUAUGUCGAUGACCUACUGGUGACAGGAGGAGAUCAUGAGAUGCUAAGCAGUUUUAAAGUCAAAAUGCAACAGCACUUUGAAAUGUCAGACUUGGGAUUGAUGUCUUACUUCUUAGGCAUGGAAGUAACUCAAGCUAAGAAUGGGAUUUGGCUAAGUCAAAAGACCUUUGCUAUGAAGGUUCUCAACAAAUUCUCAAUGGAGAAUUGCAAAGCAACCAGCACACCAGUUGCUGUUGGAGAAAAACUCUCGAGCCAAGACAAGCAUGAAAAGGUUUGUGAAACAACCUAUCGAAGUCUAGUUAGAUGUUUGUUGUAUUUGACUGCUACUAGACCUGACAUAAUGUAUGCUGUGAGUCUACUCUCGAGGUUUAUGCAUUCUUCAAAUGAAAGUCAUUUUAGAGCUGCAAAAAGGGUUCUAAGAUACAUCAAAGGAACUUUGUCCUAUGGAAUGCAGUUUACCAAGGCUGAGAACUUGAGGCUAGUUGGAUAUUGUGACAGUGAUUGGGCUGGUUCUUUGGAUGACAUGAAGAGCACUACAGGUUAUGCAUUCAACAUAGGCUCUGCUAUGAUAUGCUGGAGCUCAAAGAAGCAAGGAGUAGUGGCUCAGUCGACUGCAGAAGCAGAAUAUGUGGCUGCUGCUGCAGCAGUCAAUCAAGCCAUAUGGCUUAGAAAAAUUUUGAAAGAUAUCAAUCAUGAGCAAAAGGAAGCAACUGAGAUAAUGUCUGACAACCAAUCAGCAGUUGCUAUUGCAAAGAAUCCUGUUUUUCAUGGAAGGACCAAGCACUUCAACAUCAAACUUCAUGCAGUUCGGGAAAUGGAACAAGCUCAUGUUGUUAAGCUGAUACAUUGCAGUUCUGAAGAGCAAAUUACUGAUAUUUUAACAAAAGCACUAAGUGUUUCCAAGUUUCAACACCUGAGAGCUAAUAUGGGAGUUUGCAACAUGCUAACCAAGGAGGAGUGUUGAAGUAAUGGUCAGCAUGCAGCAACCAAGACUGUCAAAGGCACUACAUGCAGAAGCUGCUGGUUCACCUAGUCAGCAAGCUGUUUAUGUUUCAUUUUGUAAUUUUAAGUUAGAGUAAUGUAACUUAGUUGCUUUAUAACUAUGUUAGGUUUAUGUUUGAUGUAAUUUUGAUGUUGACUGAGCUGAUAAAUCAGCUUUGUUUGUUUAUUCAAGCUAAUUAGCACAAGUUACUAUGUGUAUUAGUGGUAGUAGGUGAAGUUUAGGUCAACCUACUGUUUUGUCAAGAUUGUAAACUUGUUUUAUGUAUUGGCUUUGUGCCAUAUUUAGUUUGAUGAAUGAAUUCAAGAAGUUAUCAUCCAUAUGCUCUCCAUUUUUAGUUUUGCUUAAAAAUCCAUUUGAGUUUUCUGCUUUGUUUCUCCUACAAGUCACGAGACUUGCCAUACAAGCAUUCUGCUGAAGCUUGCUGCUGCUGCCUCUUGCACCAACAAGAGGUCUAAGCUUUCCAAACUUUUAAGCCCUUUUAAAAAUUGGGGGAAUUCACUAAGAUUGCAAGAUGACAAAAAUAAGCUUGUAAGAUUAACAGUAGAAGUUGUAUUAGAUGUUAAGGAUAGGCUGUUAUAUGAAAGGUCAAGAUAUUCGAGAUUUGGAAGGUUUGAGAACAUGCGAAACUCUAUGACACCACUAAGAUAAUUUGAGGAUAAGCUAAGUUGGGUAAGAUUGAGAAGUUGGAAUAUUGAAGAUGGAAGAGGACCUUGGAGUUUAUUAUUCUCUAACCAUAUCCAUUCUAGUGAUUUGGAUUGGAAUUCUUUGAUAUGCCCACUGAAUUGAUUUUGAGAGAGAUAUAUUGUCUUUAAGGAGGGAGCAAUAUACAACCAUGACGGAAGUGUUCCAUUGAGUAAAUUGUCAGAUAAGUCUAAAUAUAUUAGAUUAUGAAAAGCGGUUACCUCAUCUGGAAUGGAACCUUCUAAAGAAUUGUUAGAUAUUGUCAAGUAUUCCAGCUGCGUUAGGUUUAGAAUUGACAAUGGAAUUUGUCCACUCAAUUUGUUCCAUCCCAAGUCUAAAACAGUGAGUUGCAAGAGGUUCCCCAAUGAUCUUGGAAUCUGUCCACUCAAUUGGUUCAGCCACAAGUCUAAAUGAGUGAGUUGCAAGAGGUUCCCUAAUGAUCUUGGAAUUUGUCCACUCAAUUGGUUCUUCGACAAGUCUAAAUGAGUGAGUUGCAAGAGGUUCCCCAAUUUUCUUGGAAUUUGUCCACUCAAUUGGUUCUCCGACAAGUCUAAAUGAGUGAGUUUCAAGAGAUUCCCCAGUGAUCUUGGAACCAGUCCUGAUAAGUUGGAAUGGGAGAGAACUAAAAACUUCAAGGACACAAGAUUCCCCAUCGAGUCAGGCAAUCCUCCACAAAUAUUUGCGUCUGAAAUUAUCAAUUGUUCAAGAUUGCUGCUCCGAUUGAACUUCAAAGGAUCAAGAUUGAGGUUUUGGUUGCCUCCCAAGUUGAGGAGAUUGAGGUUUGGCAAAUCAAAAAUGUUUUUUGGGAAUUUUCCUUGCAAAUCACAACCAACAAGACUGAGAGACCUUAGAGAAGAGGAUAGAUUCAUGAAGACAUGAGCAUUAACUGAAGACAUGUCCAUUUCAUCCAAAAACAGACGUCUGACCUCGGUUAGGUUGUGAACAAGACCCUCCAGAGCAUAUUUGUCAAUUGUUAAUAGUUCAUCAAACCCAGAAAGAUCAAGUGAAACCAAUUUUGACAGGUGGGAGACUUGGGAUGGGACUUCUGAAAACCAUGUAUUGGAAAGGUUGAGGUAGAAUAGGCUUGUAAACCGACCGAACUCGGAUGGAAUUUUGGAAGAAUUAAAAUCAUUGUAGGCAAGGUUGAGUUUUUGAAGGUGAGGAAGAAGGAAGAGAGUGGUAUUGGAAGGGAAGGUGCCAUAUAGCCAACUGCAGCUCAAGUCAAGGGCAAUAACAUGAGCAUUUAGGUGGUCACAAGUGACCCCAUCCCAUGAGCAGCAAUCUGUACCCUCCUUCCAUGAAUUUGUCUUGGGAUAAGAUUUAAGGCCAGCAAAAUAAUCGCAAUGAUCAAAAGAAGCAUCCUCUCUUAUGGAAAAGGAGUCCUUAAACUGGAUUAGUGAAGAGCAGGAGUGAGAUCCUGAAGAAGAAAAAGAAGCAUAAAGAUGGAGAAAGAAGAGGAAUAGGGAGAGAAAGAGAUAGGAGGCCAUGUUAUGUUGGUAGAGGAAGAUGAAGGAUAGGAAUGGUAUUUAUAGGCAACAAAUAAUACCACAACAUUGGUGUUACAGUCUUUUUUCUUUUACAUUGAAAAGCUAUGGAUAUUAGAUUUUCAAAAUUUUUGUAUUUUUCACAAUCAUCAACAACCACUUUGUCUUCAUUUUACCAUAUAUUUUUCAUUCUUAAAAUUGGAUUAUUUUCUUUUAGCAAAAUCUUGUAUUUCAUUUGAACUCCCUAAACAACUAAAAAAUUAAGAUUGAUAAAAUUACAAAGUAGAUUGACUUAGUCUUCUUCCUUGUAACACGUAAAGAAUUUCCACGCAAAAGAACAAAAUUGUGCUCUAUUCUUUACGUUUGAGGAAGAAGACUGCUGGAAUUUUAAUCCACUGAUUCCAUAAAAACGUGUAUACUUAUAUAUAUAUAUAUUUAUAACCUCAUAAUUUAAAUCUAAAAUCUCAUUUGUUAUAAAUUCUGAUAAAUUUAUUUGGGAAUUGCUAUUUUUCAUUCGUUAAUUAUUUCUCUUUUAAUCGAGUAAAAAAUUAAAACUAAAGACAUAAUGAUUUAUUUGGUAUUUUUUAACUUCGCAAACGAAAAAUUAUUUUAGCUUUCUAUUUUUUUUUAUCUCUUUUAGUCUUGAAAUUUAUAUGGUUCAUUAAAUCACCCAAAAAAAUGAUGAAAAAAAUAACAAAACUAGCACCUACGUGGCUGAUGUUGACCCUUAAUAGUUAAUGGCAACACCUAUGUAGUUGUUAACAGAUACCACACCAACACUGUUUGUUGACGUGACAAUGCCACAUGAUCAAUAAUCGCAGACAUGGUAGCGCCACGCCAUCGCCCAUUGAUGACAUAUUAACCUUUGAGUUAAACUCAAAUAAUUUGGUCCCAAAUAGUUUUCAACACAAAAGAAUAGAGGAAGAAGACUGCUACAGGUUUAACUAUCAAUUGUCUAUUGACUAUACUUUUAACUCCACUAAAAAAGACCAAGACUAAGACUAUCAAUUGUCUAUUGACUACACUUUAACUCGACAAAAAAAGACCAAGACUAAGACUAUCAAUUGUCUAUUGGCUUCACACUUGCUGUUGCUUCCUCCUAUUUCUCUCACCCAAACUUAAUUUACAAGCAAUGUGGAAAUUUUGGACAUUUGCCCACAACGUACAAUACUUCCACACCAUUUGCAGUAUUGACUACGUUUACUUGAGGGAAAACAAAGACAUGAACGCUGGAAAUUUUAACUAGUUUGUACCGUCAAUGAAGCUACGUACCUAAAAGCCAUUUAGGAUAUCAAUUCCUGUAAUUGGAGUAAUCUCAUCGUUGCUGCAAUCUUUUGACAGUUUAAUCGAAUCUUAAAUAUGUUACUCUGCAAUGCUAUUGUAAAUAUUUUUCUUAAAUUUGUCGAUAGAUUUAUAGGUUUGGCACAAAAUUAAGAAUACACAAAGGCAGGUUGAAUUAUUCCAUGUUUGAACAUCUGCAACAUAAAUGCAUAUGGCAAAAGGGCUCAAACCAUACCUUAUGUUCAUGAAUUCUCAUCAUCACGUGUUUAUAAAUGCAACUCAAACUUCAAUAAUUGAAUCUUUUGUAAUUCUACAUGUAUUUUUUUAUUAUGGCGAGCAGUAUAAUGUUUACUAAAAAUUGAAAUUCAAGAAAGAAGACAUAUAUAGUUGCACCAUACAAGAUGUUACACUCGAACUAAACGCUUACAAAUAGUACGAAAUGCAAUUGAAUACAGAGGAAUUGGUACAAUCAUAAAAACAGACACAUACCAAUGCAACUUUUCACCAUAGGAAAAACUUUCUGACAGACUACUAAACAAGAAAUUAUGAAGACACAGUAGAAAUGCUUUAACUUCAUUUGCACCAACUAGAUCAUUCUUCAUCCACUCAUGCGAUUGCUAUAUUUUGGCUUUCUUCUUCGCCUCUUCUCAUGUUGGUCUUCAACCAAAUUCACGAACCUUUUCACCUUAUCGGUUUGGAAAACAACACAUCCCAUGGCCAUUCCAAACACUACCCCGGAUCCAUAACCUAUCAACACCACUUUCCAACCAAAAGCAAUGUUUGCUUUUGAGCCAUCCUUUUCCAGCACAUUUGGAGGUGGUGUCUCAUUGAUGCUGCAACCUUUGGAGACUGGAAAUCCACAUAGUCUCUGUUUCCUUCGUAUGAAUUGUUUCCAAAUGUAUUGAACUGUUUGCCUUGAGGAAUCUGACCAUGGAGUUGAUUUUCGGAAACGUUUAAUAAGGAAAGAAAUGCCGGAUCUGCCAAUAUCUCUGGAAUUAACUCAGUUCAAAAGACUAUAUAACUCGUAAAGUUUGGUCGAAGACUAGCAGGGGUCAAGAAAAAUAAUUACUUGAAUUGUCAAAAUUUUGGAUUUUAGAGAAACAAGCACUAGACUUGGAGCUAUGGUCAUGCAAGGAACCAUGCAUUUCAUUUGACUUUAGUACAAGAACUUGUAGCCGUGGAAGACUUCCCUACCAAUGAGGAAAUGUAUCAUUGAUCUUGUUGUUCCUAAGAUCUAGCACUUCCAAAGACCUAAAAUUGAGGAUGGAUGGUGACAAAUGCCAUUCAAAUUGAUUUCCAUUUAAGUUGAGAUUACUCAAUUGGCAUCCCUUUGCAAAUGUUGGAGGAAUCAAUCCAUAAAACUUGUUCUUCUUUAGAUUCAAAAAUUCCAGGUUGUUGCUCAAAUUUCCAAAACAUUGUAGAAUAGUUCCACUCAAUUUAUUGUGGGACAAGUCAAGAAUUUGGAGAGCACUCACAUUGCCUAUCAAAGAAGAGACCUCUCCACUUAAACUAUUGUUUGAAGUAAAAAACACGUUGAUUGUCGAAGAUGGGAUUGGAAGAUUUCCAUGGAUCAAAUUGGAGCUUAAGUCAAGAAUAUUAAUAUUCUUCCAUGGAAGUUGCUCAACUUCUGUCAAUGAAUUGUGAGAUAAAUUUAAGUAACUCAAAGAGUCACACGUCACUUCUUGCAGCCAUUGUGGAAUCUUCCCUUCAAUUCUAUUGUUAGAAAGCUCCAAAGUUUUCAACUUUUUUAACCCUUUCAAAAAUCGGGGGAAUUGGCUGACAUUAUUUGAGCUUAAGGAUAGGCUGUUUAGUGAAAGGUCAAGAUAUUCGAGAUUUGGGAGAUUUGAGAACAUGCCAAACUCUAUGACACCACUGAAAUUAUUUGAGUAUAAAAGGAGCCAGGUAAGGUUGAGAAAUUGGAAUAUUGAAGAUGGAAGAGGACCUUGGAGAUUAUUAUUCCCUAACACUAUCAUUCUAGUGAUUUGGAUUGGAAUUCUUUGAUGUGUCCACUGAAUUGAUUCUGAGAGAGAGAUAUUUCCAUUAAGGAGAAAGCAUUAUACAACCAUGACAGAAGUUUUCCAUUGGGUAAAUUGUUAGAUAAGUCUAAAGAUAUUAGAUUAGGGAAAGCAGCUACCUCAUCUGGAAUGGGACCUUCUAAAGAAUUUUCAGCUAUUCUCAAGUGUUCAAGCUGUGUUAGGUUUACAAUUGACAAUGGAACUUGUUCACUCAAUUGGUUCCAUGACAAGUCUAAAUAUAUGAGCCACAAGAGGUUCCCCAGAGAUCUCGAAAUUGAUCCCUGUAAAUUGGAAUUAGAGAGAGACAAAUAUUUCAAGACGUGCAGGUUGUCAAUCAAAUCAAUCAAUUUUGAAAAGGAGGACAUCCAUGACAGAUCCAAAUGUUCAAGAUUACUGCUCUGAUUGAACUUCAGAAGAUCAAGAAUCAGGUUUCGGUUGUAUCCUAAGUUGAGCAAAUUGAGGUUUGGCGAAUGAAGAACGUUUCUUGAGAAUUUUCCUUGCAAAUCACAACCACCAAGACUGAGAGACUUUAUAGAAGAGGAUAGAUUGAUGAAAACAUUAGGAUUAAUAGAAGGCAUGAUAAUUCUAUCAAGAAAAAGAUGUCUCACCUCAGUUAGGUUGUGAACAAGUCCCUUCAAAGAAUUUUAUCAAGUGUUAAUUGGUCAGAAAAAACAUUAUGAGAGAGAUCAAGUGAAACCAAUUUUGACGAGUGGGAGAUUUGGGAUGGGACUUUUCCUGCAAAUAACGUUUCUGAGAUGUUAAGAUACACCAGGCUUGUAAACCGGCCGAACUCGGAUGGAAUUUUGGAAAGAUUAAAAUCAUUGUAGGCAAGGUUGAAUUUUUGAAGGUGAGGAAGAAGGAAGAGAGUGGUAUUGGAAGGGAAGUUGCCAUAUAGACAACUGCAGCUCAAGUCAAGGGCAAUAUAUAACUUGAGCAUUUAGGUGGUCACAAGUGACCCCAUCCCAUGAGCAGCAAUCUGUACCCUCAUUCCAUGAAUUUGUCCUGGGAUAAGAUUUAUGGCCAUCAAUCUCAUUGCUAUAAGAAGAAGCAUACUCUGUUAUGGAAAAAGAGUCCUUAAACUGGAUUAGUGAAGAGCAGGAGUGAGAUCCUGAAGAAGAAAAAGAAGCAUAAAGAUGGGGAAAGGUUAAGGUAGAAUAGGCUUGUAAACCGACCGAACUCGGAUGAAAUUUUGGAAAGAUUAAAAUCAUUGAAGGCAAGGUUGAGUUUUUGAAGGUGAGGAAGAAGGAAGAGAGUGGUAUUGGAAGGGAAGUUGCCAUAUAGCCAACUGCAGCUCAAGUCAAGGGCAAUAACUUGAGCAUUAAGGUGAUGACAAGUGACCCCACACCAUGAGCAGCAAUCUGUACCCUCCUUCCAUGAAUUUGUCUUGGGAUAAGAUUUAAGGCCGGCAAAAUCAUCGCAACACAAAGCAGCAUGGCCUGUCUGAGUGAUCGAAAAUGAAUUCUUGAACUGGAUUAGAGAAGCAGCUUCGUGGUGAGAGCAGGAGUGAGAUCCUGAAGAAGAAGAAGCAUAAAGAUGGGGAAAGAAGAGGAAUAGGCAGAGAGAGAGAUAGGGGCCAUGUUAUGUUUGUAGAGGAAGAUGAAGGAUAGGAAUGGUAUUUAUAGGCAACAAAUAGAAUCCAAUAUUAAACAAAAGAUUUGAUGAUUAAUACCACAACACCACUGUUACAGUGUUGUUUCUUUUAUGGUAUAAAGAUUGUUAUUGGAAGAGUUUGAAAUGCUGACAUUGAAAACCUAUAUUUUUCAAUACUCAUCAACAACCACUUCCUUUUUACCAUAUCUUUUUCAUUCCCAAAAUUGGAUACAUUGUUUUACCAAAAUUUUGUAUUUCAUUUGAACUCCCUAAACAACUGAGAAAAUUAACAUUGAUGAGAUUACAAAGUAGAUUGACUUAGUCUUCUUCCUUAUAAUAGGUAAAAAAAAAAUGUGAGUGUCUAUUCACUUAUAAUAUUUCCAUGCUAGAGGUAGUUUUUGGAAAAUCUUUAAUUAAAUCUUAAUUUCAUUUUGUUAAAAUUUUAAACUGGGUUAUCGAAUUGGCUUCUGAUUGUAGGUUGAUCAAUGAUGGGCCGAUUUCUUCUUCUUCUUUUUUAAUUUUUUUAGGGUUAAUUUAUAAUAUACUGCUUAAUGUUGUUGAUUUAUUUUUCUGGUCAUCGUUUCAUCCGUUUGUUGAAGAUAACUGAAUUUUUAUUGGUUGUAAUUGGACUUGGGUUUUAGCCAAUGACUAUAAUCAAAGGGUUAAUUUAAGGUUCCAAUGAAUUGUUUGAAAAUUUUAUUAUUUUUCUUUUCAAUUAGUUGUUUUACAAGGAUUUAACUUAUAUUAGUCAAAUGAACUGGCUUUAAAAAAUGAACAAGAACGAAGAAAUUGGAUGGUUAACUGGACACUGGAAAGGGGGAAUGCUAAAAGUUGUAAAUGUUUUGAAUAUAGAGUUGUAUUCUUUUCAUGGCUUCAGAAAAAUGUAUGCAAUGUUUGGCCAGCGAUAAUGGACAAGUUUUUUUAAACCUCCAUGCCUUAGUCAUGCUUUCAUAAACAUGGGCAGCUAACACCGAGAAGUCUCAUUGAAUGUAGUAAGCGAUUUAAAAGUGAAGCUCAUAUGCGACCGGGGAUGGUUGAUUUGAGGUUUAAUUCUAGCUAGUAGAUUCUGUUGUUUGUUAAGCGUCUUUUUGGAGACAAAUGUCUGAGAUUGCUGGAAAAUGCUUCUUACCAUCAUAUUAAUGUGUAUUUGGGUUGCGUUUUCUUAGAGUUUUGGAUUCUUUGCAUCAUAUCAUAAAAUUGAGUUAGAUAUAACAUCUCAUUGUUAUCUGUUAAUUGUUUCACUUGGGACCAGGAGCAUGCUGGCAACUCAAUACAGCUGUAAAUGCAUAUUUCAGUGAGGGUGAUAGGUAUAUAUUUAUGAAUUAUCCUAAUAUUUUUUAUGAUAAGUAAUUCUAGGUUUAUAGCUUUAUUUGUUUGUUUGUUUUCUCGUGUUUCCUACAAAAAAAGGCCAACAUCAACCAUAGUUCCUGUAGAUGAUGCCAUGGAUAUAGAUGAUCCAAAUGAAGUAGUACCAAAUGGGCCAGUCCUUCCAUUUCUACCAUCAUCUAGAACAAACGAACAAUCGUCUCUUUUUCUGAAAUUUCCGGCGCGACGCCUGUGCGGGGGGCCUUGGCCGGAAUCUGGACUUAGUCCAGAGAGUUUUUUUUUCUUUCUUCUGUUUUUUUUUUUCAAUGUUCAAAUGAUUUUUUUUCUCAAAACACUAAUUUUUAUGCCCAGUGAAACGGCGCCGUUUUGGCUAAGCUCCAAAACACCCAAAACGACGUCGUUUCACUCGCCACCAACUUGAAUUUUAUAACUACUCCUAUGCCAACCAGCAAACCAUAACAGCGUACAUAAAAAAGAGGAUGCUGACUUACAAUUCCUUUCAUUUCACCAUAACCAAUCAAAUCCCUUGCAAUGCUGUUUGGAUCACAGCAGCUCAUCUUUCAAUCCUAGAUGGCUCCGCUAAUUUUUUGAAAGCAUACAUAAACUGUUAAAGAAAUAAAUGGAUAAAACAACUACAGGAUAGAAGGCUGAAAAAUUACAAAGUGCAAUGACCUUAUUGUUAAAAUUUCAACGCCCAUUCCUUGGAAAGAUAUCUUCACCAUUGCCCACUCAAGAGAACUCAAAUAGCAGCAAGAUCUAGUAUAAAAUGUAACUCUCAACAACACACACAAAUGUUUGUUCUAUCAAGGAGCAAUACACAGACAUAUUCACCUACCCUUGGUUCUAGCUUUGCAUAUUACAUAACACUCUUCAAAUGUCUUAUUAAAUUCUCACUUUUACGAGUGCUAUGAUAAUCAAAUAAAAUUCAAUUCAAUUUUAAGUUCCAUAUAACACUUACAUGGCUACAAAAUGUGUGUGUGUUUAAGUGUCGACAACCACAAACAAUCCAAAUUUGCAGAGAAACCACCCAUUAUAUAUAGGUUUGCCAAUGAGAUGGCAAGCAGAUUGCUAGCUAGAAAUUCAUGCAUCUUUGAAUCACCAGUUCAAUUAAUAAGCUUAAGUAGAGGAAAUAGGGACUUUACAUCCACCAAUUAAAGCAACCUAUAUGUACCCUUUUACAGUCUGCAUUGUUCCAUGUUUCAAUUCAUUACAUCAUUCCUUCAACUCUGCUAUAUAUUAUUACCGUCUCCAGAUAACCAAACCUUUUACUGCUAACUUGUAAAAAAAUUAUGAAAAUACAACAGAGAUCAUUGAGACAUUGUUGAAGUUGGCUUGCAUGCAGAGCAAGAAGCAGACCAAGCUGUCCGAGCCAUGCAAGUUGCAGCUGAAGCUUAUGCUGCUGUUUUGUUACUUUCAAAUAGAUAUUUUAUUACUUAGUUAGAUAUGAACUAAGUUGUUGAUAUGCUUGAUGUGAUUAGGUGCUGAUAGAUUGAUAAAUCAGCUUUACCAAGUGUACAAGCAAUGUUUAUCAAGUUACUAAGCCACUUAGUGGAGUUAGGCACGUGUUUAGGUAACAUUUUCUUAUUUUUGACCAGCUGAUUGCUCGGUAUAUGUAAUGGAAUUGUGCCUUCAUUUGGUCUUUACUUAAGCAUUUUUAUUCAAAAAGCUCUUGCUGUUUUUGUUUUGUUUGUUGUGCAAGAUAUCAAUGCUUUAUGCUUAAGUUUCUGUCAAAAUUUCUCAUUCUGUUUUCUUAGUUCCUACAGACAUUUUGUUCUCCUUUCUCCUUUACUGAGCAGUAGCAAAGAUUAUUGAGACUAAAUUGAAAUCCAUGAAAGAAGACAUAAACAACACCACCAUACAAAAUGUCACACUCAAACAAACCAUUACAGAUAGUACGAAAUGCAAUGAAAGACAGAGGAAUUGGUACAAUAAUAAAGACAGCCAGAUACCAAUGCAACCCUUCACCAUAGGCACAACGGUCUACAAACAAGAAAUUAUGAAAAAUACAACACUAAUUCUUGAACAUCAUUUGCAGUAAUUAGAUCCUUCUUCGUCUACUGCUGCGAUUGCCUUUCUUUGACUUUCUUCUUCGCCUCUUCUCAUGUUGGUUUUCAACCAAAUUCACCAACCAUUUUGGCUUUCCAGUUUGGAAAACAACAUAUCCCACGGACAUUCCGAACACUACUCCGCAUCCACAACCUAUCAUCACCACUUUCCAACCAAAAGCAAUGUUUGAUUUUGAGCCAUCUUUUUCAAGCACAUUUGGAGGUGGUGGGUCAAUGAUGUUGCAACCUUUCGAGACCGGAAACCCACACAGUCCCUUAUUUCCUUCAUAUGAAUCAUUUCCAAAUGUGUUGAAUUGUUUGCCUUGGGGAAUCUUACCAUGGAGUUGAUUUUCAGAAACAUUUAAGGACGAAAGAAACGGCAGAUCUGCCAAUCUAUUUGGAAUCGCCCCAGACAACCUGUUUGAAGAUAGGUCCAACCAUUCAAGACUUGUCAAAUUCCCUAUUGAUGUGGGGAUACCACCAUUAAGGUUAUUAUGAGAAAGGUUGAGCCCUUUCAGUAAGUUAAGCUUCCCAAUAACCUUUGGAAUACCCCCUUCAAACUGAUUGUUUGAUAGAUCAAUGAUCAUCCACAUGGUGAAAAUUUUCACCAAUUCCCUAUCUUGUCCUUUCAUAACAAUUCCAAUGGAAUAGGUAUAGAAGUCACCUCCAUCAUCAUUCACCCCCAUGUACGACACUGUACUACCAAUCUUCUCUAGAUUUAUGAUAGCCUUGAAGCUGUUGAUGUAUCUCACUGGUAGGGGUCCAGAAAAAUAAUUACUUGAGAGAUCAAAAAUUUGGAUUUUAGAGAAAAAAGGGAUAGACUUGGAGCUAUUGACACAUAAGGAACCAUGCAAUUGAUUUGACUUCAAUACAAGAACUUGUAGCCGUGGAAGACUUCCCAACCAAUGAGGAAAUGUAUCAUUGAUCUUGUUGUUACCAAGAUCUAGCACUUCCAGACCAUUACAAUUAAGGAUGGAUGGUGUCAAAGGCCCUUCUAACAGAUUUCCAUUUAAGUUGAAAUUACUCAAUUGGCAUCCCAUUGCAAAUGUUGGAGGAAUCGUCCCAUAGAACUUGUUCUUCUUCAGAUUCAAGAAUAGAAGGCUGUUGCUCAAAUUUCCAAAACAUUGUGGAAUUGUUCCACUCAAGUUAUUGUGGGACAAAUCAAGAAUUUCAAGAAAAGCGGCAUUGCAUAUUAAAGAAGAGACCUCUCCAUUGAAACUAUUAUUAGAGAUCAAAAAGACAUUGAUGGUCGAAGCUGGAAUCGGAAGAUUUCCACUGAUCAAAUUGGAGCUUAAGUCAAGAACGUCAAUAUUCUUCCAUGGAAAGUGCUCAACUUCUGUCAAAGAGUUGUGAGAUACGUUUAAGUAAGUCAAAGAGUCAUUCCCCACCUCUUGCAUCCACUGUGGAAUCUUGCCUUCAAUUUUGUUGUAAGAGAGGUCUAAGCUUUCCAAACUUUUAAGCCCUUUUAAAAAUUGGGGGAAUUCACUAAGAUUGCAAGAUGACAAAAACAACCUUGUAAGAUUAACAGUAGAAGUAGUAUUAGAUGUUAAGGAUAGGCUGUUAUAUGAAAGGUCAAGAGAUUCGAGAUUUGGAAGGUUUGAGAACAUGCGAAACUCUAUGACACCACUAAGAUAAUUUGAGGAUAAGCUAAGUUGGGUAAGAUUGAGAAGUUGGAAUAUUGAAGAUGGAAGAGGACCUUGGAGUUUAUUAUUCUCUAACGCUAUCCAUUCUAGUGAUUUGGAUUGGAAUUCUUUGAUAUGCCCACUGAAUUGAUUUUGAGAGAGUUUUAUAUCCUUUAAGGAGGGAGCAGUAUACAACCAUGAUGGAAGUUGUCCACUGAGUAAAUUGUUAGUUAAGUCUAAAGAUAUUAGAUUAGGAAAAGCGGUUACCUCAUCUGGAAUAGAACCUUUUAAUGUAUUUCCAGCUAUUCUCAAGUAUUCCAGCUGCGUUAGGUUUAGAAUUGACAAUGGAAUUUGUCCAUUCAAUUGGUUCUGCCACAAGCCUAAAUAAGUGAGUUGCAAGAGGUUCCCCAAUGAUCUUGGAAUUUGUCCACUCAAUUGGUUUUGCCACAAGCCUAAAUAAGUGAGUUGCAAGAGGUUCCCCAAUGAUCUUGGAAUUUGUCCACUCAACUGGUUCCCCGAUAAGUCUAAAUGAGUGAGUUGCAAGAGAUUCCCCAGUGAUUUUGGAACCGGUCCUGAUAAGUUGGAAUAGGAGAGAUCUAAAAACUUCAAGGACACAAGAUUACCCACCGAGUCUGGCAAUCCUCCAAAAAAAUUUGCGCCUGAAAUUAUCAAUUGCUCCAAAGAUGAUAAAUUUGUGAUUGAGACAGACAAUCCUUGAAAGAAAAAAUUUCCUGAUAGACCUAAGGACUUUAAGGCCUGUAGAUUAUCAACUGAAUCAAUGAAUUCUGUAGAGAAGGACGUCCAUGACAGAUCCAAAUGUUCAAGAUUGCUGCUCCGAUUCAACUUCAAAGGAUCAAGAUUGAGGUUUUGGUUGUUUCCCAAGUUGAGGAGAUUGAGGUUUGGCAAAUCAAAAAUGUUGUUUGGGAAUUUUCCUUGCAAAUCACAACCAGCAAGACUGAGAGACCUUAGAGAAGAGGAUAGAUUCAUGAAGACAUGAGCAUUAACAGAAGCCAUCUCCAUUCCAUCCAAAAACAGAUGUCUGACCUCGGUUAGGUUUUGAACAAGUCCCUCCAGAGCAUGUUUGUCUCCUACAAACCCUGUACUGGAAAGGUCGAGGUAGAGUAGGCUUGUAAACCGACCUAACUCGGAUGGAAUUUCGGAAAGAUUAAACUCAUUGUAGGCAAGGUUGAGUUUUUGAAGGUGAGGAAGAAGGAAGAGAGUGGAAUUGGAAGGGAAGUUGCCAUAUAGCCAACUGCAGCUCAAGUCAAGGGCAAUAACAUGAGCAUUUAGGUGGUCACAAGUGACCCCAUCCCAUGAGCAGCAAUCUGUACCCUCCUUCCAUGAAUUUGUCUUGGGAUAAGAUUUAUGGCCAGCAAUCUCAUUGCAAUAAGAAGAAGCGUCCUCUGUUAUGGAAAAAGAGUCCUUAAACUGGAUUAGUGAAGAGCAGGAGUGAGAUCCAGAAGAAGAAAAAGAAGCAUAAAGAUGGGGAAAGAAGAGGAAUAGGCAGAGGAAGAGAUAGGGGGCCAUGUUAUGUCUGUAGAGGAAGAUGAAGGAUAGGAAUGGUAUUUAUAGGCAACAAAUAAUACCGCAGUGUUACAGUCUUUUUUUCUUUUACAUUGAGAAGCUAUGGAGAUUAGAUUUUCAAAAUUUUUGUAUUUUUAACAAUCAUCAACAGUCACUUAGUCUUCUUUUUACCAUAUAUUUUUCAUUCUUAAAAUUGGAUGCUAUCUUUUCGCAAAAUCUUGUGGAAAUUCUUUAGCCUUCUUCUCUAUAACACUUAAAGAAUGUGUGUAUGUAUUCAUUUGCCUGUCAACUAAAGCUAAUUAAUGUGGAAAUUCUUUUCCACCCAAAAGAACAAAAUUGUGCUCUAUUCAUUAAGUUUGAGGAAGAAGAUUGCUGGAAAUUUAAUCUACCGAUUCCAUAAAAAACGUGUAUACUUAUAUAACCUCAUAAUUCAAAUCUAAAAUCUCAUUUGUUAUAAAUUCUGAUAAAUUUCUUUGGAAUUGCUAUUUUUCAUUUGUUAAUUAUUUCUCUUUUAAUCGAGUAAAAAAUUAAAACUAAAAAGACAUAAUGAUUUAUUUGGCAUUUUUAAACUUUACAAAUAAAAAAUCAUUUUAGCUUUUCAUUUUUUUAUCUCUAUUAAAUCACCCAAAAAAAAUAAUGAAAAAGACUAACAAAACUAGCACCUACGUGGCUGAUGUUGACCCUUAGUAGUUAAUGACAACAUCUACGUAGUUGUUAACAGAUACCACACUAACACUGUUUGUUGACGUGACAAUGCCACAUGAUCAAUAAUCACCGACAUGGUAGCGCCACGCUAUCGCCCAUUGGUGACAUAUUGAUGUUUGAGUUAAACUCAAAUUACUAUUUCCUUUGUUAUAAAUUAAGAGUAUAACUAAUUUUGAUAAGAAUGAUUACUUUUCAUUAACUCAGUCUAAAGGACUAUAACACGUAAAGUUUGGCCUAUUGCAGAAUUCACAUGCAAUGCGGGGCAUUUACAUUAUGCAGAAUUCGGCACAUAUAUGGGAAUUUUUGUAUUUCCACAAUCAUCAUGUUGUUCGUGAUCAACAACUACUUCCUUUUUACCAUAUAUUUUUCAUUCAUAAAAUUGAUUACUUUUUUUUUUACGAAAGAAGUAAAAUUAUUAACAUUCAUGAUAUUACAAAGCCUUCUUCCUUAUAACACGUCAAGUUUGGCCCCAAAUAAUUUUCCAGACAAAAGAAUUAAGAGGAAGGAGACUGCUACAGAUUGACUAUACUUUUAACUCCACAAACAAAGACUAAGACUAUCAAUUGUCUAUUGACUACACUUUAACUCGACAAAAACAGAUUGACUAUACUUUUAACUCCACAAACAAAGACUAAGACUAUCAAUUGUCUAUUGACUUCACUUUAACUCGACAAAAACAGACUAAUAAGACUUUGGUUGGCUGUAAUGGGCUAUUGACUAUACUUUAACUCCGCAAAAAAAGACUAAGGCUAUCAAUUGUCUAUUGACUUCACACUUGCUGUUGCUUCCUCCUAUCUCUAUCACUUGCUUCCUCCUAUCUCUAUCACCCAAACUUAAUUUACAAGCAAUGUGGAAAUUUUGGACAUUUGGGCCACAAUGUACAAUACUUCCACACCAUUUGCAGUAUUGACUACGUUUACUUGAGGGCAAACAAAGACAUGAAUGCUGGAAAUUUUAACUAGUUUGUACCGUCAAUGAAGCUACGUACCUAAAAGCAAUGUAUUAUCACCGUCUCCAGAAAUUUUGCUAAUUCAAUUUCCCAAGAAAUAUGAUUAAUUUUGGUUAAAUUGGAGUGAACAUUACUAUUUCUGUUUUAGCAAUUAAAGCAACCUAUAUGUACCCUUUUACAGUCUGCAUUGUUCCAUGUUUCCAUUCAUUACAUCAUUCCUUCAACUCUGCUAUAUAUUAUCACCGUCUCCAGAGAACCAAACCUUUUACUGCUAACUUGUAAAAAAAUUAUGAAAAUACAACAGAGAUUAUUGAGACAUUGUUGAAGUUGGCUUGCAUGCAGUAGACAUUGUUAAUCUUAUUAUUAUUAUUAUUAUUAUUAACUCAUGAACCCAUGGUUACACUUCCAACAGAGGUGAGAGAGGUUAAGAGUAGCCAUGAGCCAUCUAGUCAUGCUCCUGUUGUUGAGGAUGCCUCUGAAACUGCACAAGCUCUCAGCCCGAAUUCAAAUCUAAAAUCUCAUUUGUUAUAAAUUCUGAUAAAUUUAUUUGGGAAUUGCUAUUUUUCAUUCGUUAAUUAUUUCUCUUUUAAUCGAGUAAAAAAUUAAAACUAAAAAGACAUGAUAAUUUACUUGGCAUUUUUUAACUUUACAAACAAAUAGUCAUUUUAGCUUUCCAUUUUUUUUUUCUCUUUUAGCCUUGAAACUUAUAUGGUUCCUUAAAUCACUCCAAAAAAAAUGAUGAAAAAGACUAACAAAUUCUAGCACCUACGUGGCUGAUGUUGACCCUAGUAGUUAAUGGCAACACCUACGUAGUGGUUAACAGAUACCACACCAACACUGUUUGUUGACGUGACAAUGCCAAAUGGUCAAUAAUCGCUGACAUGGUAGCGCCACGCCAUCGCCCAUUGAUGACAUGUUAACCUUUGAGUUAAACUCAAAUUACUCUUUCCUUUGUUAUAAAUUAAGAGUAUAAAUAAUUCUGAUAAGAAUAGUUACUUUUCAUUAACUCAGUUUAAAGGACUAUAACACGUAAAGUUUGGUCUAUUGCAGAAUUCACAUGCCAUGCGGGACGUUUACAUUAUGCAGAAUUCAACACAUAUAUGGGAAUUUUUGUAUUUCCACAAUCAUCAAAUAAUUUUCAUAAAUUGAUUACUUUCUUUUUACCAUAUAAUUUUCAUUCAUAAAUUGAUUACUUUUUUUUUACAAAAGAAGUAAAAUAAUUAAUAUUCGUGAGAUUACAAAGUCUUCUUCCUUAUACACGUCAAGUUUGGUCUCAAAUAAUUUUCCACACAAAAGAAUACUUUUAACAAUCAAUUGUCUAUUGACUAUACUUUGAACUCCACAAAAAAGACUAAGACCUUCAAUUGUCUAUUGACUACACUUUAACUCGACAAAAAAAGACUAAGACUAUCAAUUGUCUAUUGACUAUCAAUUGGUUCCAUGACAAGUCUAAAUAUAUGAGCCACAAGAGGUUCCCCAAUGAUCUCGAAAUUGAUCCCCGUAAAUUGGAAUUAGAGAGAGACAAAUAUUUCAAGACAUGCAGGUUGUCAAUCAAAUCAAUCAAUUUCGUAAAGGAGGACAUCCAUGACAGAUCCAAAUGUUCAAAAUUACUGCUCUGAUUGAACUUCAGAAGAUCAAGACUAAGGAUUCGGUUGUAUCCUAAGUUGAGCAAAUUGAGGUUUGGCGAAUGAAGAAUGUUUCUUGAGAACUUUCCUUGCAAAUCACAACCACCAAGACUGAGAGACUUUAUAGAAGAGGAUAGAUUCAUGAAAACAUUAGGAUUAAUAGAAGGCAUGAUAAUUCUAACAAGAAAAAGAUGUGUCACCUCAGUUAGGUUGUGAACAAGUCCCUCCAAAGAAUUUUAUCAAGAGUUAAUUGGUGAGAAAAAACAUUAUGAGAGAGAUCAAGUGAAACCAAAUUUGACGAGUGGGAGAUUUGGGAUGGGACUUUUCCUGUAAAUAACGUUUUUUAGAUGUUAAGAUACACCAGCCUUGUAAACCGACCGAACUAGGAUGGAAUUUUGGAAAGAUUAAAAUCAUUGUAGGCAAGGUUGAGUUUUUGAAGGUGAGGAAGGAGGAAGAGAGUGGUAUUGGAAGGGAAGUUGCCAUAUAGCCAACUGCAGCUCAAGUCAAGGGCAAUAACAUGAGCAUUAAGGUGAUGACAAGUGACCCCAUACCAUGAGCAGCAAUCUGUACCCUCCUUCCAUGAAUUUGUCUUGGGAUAAGAUUUAAGGCCGUCAAAAUCAUCGCAAUACAAAGCAGCAUGGUCUGUCUGAGUGAUCGAAAAUGAAUUCUUGAACUGGAUUAGAGAAGCAGCUUCGUGGUGAGAGCAGGAGUGAGAUCCUGAAGAAGAAGAAGCAUAAAGAUGGGGAAAGAAGAGGAAUAGGCAGAGAGAGAGAUAGGGGCCAUGUUAUGUUUGUAGAGGAAGAUGAAGGAUAGGAAUGGUAUUUAUAGGCAACAAAUAGAAUCCAAUAUUAAACAAAAGCUUUGAUGAUUAAUACCACAACACCACUGUUACAGUGUUGUUUCUUUUAUGGUAUAAAGAUUGUUAUUGGAAGAGUUUGAAAUGCUGACAUUGAAAACCUAUAUUUUUCAAUACUCAUCAACAACCACUUCCUUUUUACCAUAUCUUUUUCAUUCCCAAAAUUGGAUACAUUGUUUUACCAAAAUUUUGUAUUUCAUUUGAACUCCCUAAACAACUGAGAAAAUUAACAUUGAUGAGAUUACAAAAUAGAUUGACUUAGUCUUCUUCCUUAUAAUACGUAAAAAAAAAUGUGAGUGUCUAUUCACUUAUAAUAUUUCCAUGCUAGAGGUAGUUUUUGGAAAAUCUUUAAUUAAACCUUAAUUUCAUUUUGUUAAAAUUUUUAACUGGAUUAUCGAAUUGGCUUCUGAUUGUAGGUUGAUCAAUGAUGGGCUGAUUUCUUCUUCUUCUUUUUUAAUUUUUUUAGGGUUUAUAAUAUACUGCUUAAUGUUGUUGAUUUAUUUUUCUGAUCAUCGUUUCAUUCGUUUGUUGAAGAUAACUGAAUUUUUAUUGGUUGUAAUUGGACUUGGGUUUUAGCCAAUGACUAUAAUCAAAGGGUUAAUUUAAGGUUCGAAUGAAUUAUUUGAAAAUUUUAUUAUUUUUCUUUUCAAUUAGUUGUUUUACAAGGAUUUAACUUAUAUUAGUCAAAUGAACUGGGUUUAAAAAAUGAACAAGAACGAAGAAAUUGGAUGGUUGACUGGACACUGGAAAGGGGAAAAGCUAAAAGUUGUAAAUGUUUUGAAUAUAGAGUUGUAUUCUUUUCAUGGCUUCAGAAAAAUGUAUGCAAUGUUUGGCCAGCGAUAAUGGACAAGUUUUUUUAAACCUCCAUGCCUAAGUCAUGCUUUCAUAAACAUGGGCAGCUAACACCGAGAAGUCAGUAAGCGAUUUAAAAGUGAAGCUCAUAUGCGUCAUUGCUACUCGCUUUGCAGCUAAACUCCUGAGUGACCGGGGAUGGUUGAUUUGAGGUUUAAUUCUAGCUAGUAGAUUCUUAGGUUUGUUAAGGGUCUUUUUGGAGACAAAUGUCUGAGAUUGCUGGAAAAUGCUUCUUACCAUCAUAUUAAUGUCUAUUCGGGUUGCGUUUUCUUAGAGUUUUGGAUUCUUUGCAUCUUAUCAUAAAAUUGAGUUAGAUAUAACAUGUCAUUGUUAUCUGUUAAUUGUUUCACUUGGGACCAGGAGCAUGGUGGCAACUCAAUACAGCUGUAAAUGCAUAUUUCAGCGAGGGUGAUAGGUAUAUAUUUAUGAAUUAUGCUAAUAUUUUGUUAUGAUAAGUAAUUCUAGGUUUAUAGCUUUAUUGGUUUGUUUGUUUUCUCAUGUUUCCUACAAAAAUAAGGCCAACAUCAACCAUAGUUUCUGUAGAUUAUGCCAUGGAUAUAAAUGAUCCAAAUGAAGUUGUACCAAAUGGGCCAGUCCCUUCCAUUUCUACCAUCAUCUAGAACAAACGAACAAUCGUCUCUUCAUCAUCGAAACUUCCAUAGCAGUUUCUUCGAUGGUGAUUCUGGUUCAACUUAUGAACCAAUUGAUACAUAUCCAACAGAGGUGAGAGGGGUUAAGUAUAGCCAUGAGCCAUCUAGUCAUGCUCCUGUUGUUGAGGAUGCCUCUGAAACUGCACAAGCUCUCGGCCCGAAUUCCCAUGAGACUGUUACAAUUGGUGAAGUAGGUGACGAUUCAAUUGCGCAGCCAAGGUGGCAGAAUGAUAACUGUAACAACCAGCAUGUUACACCCAGCGCUCCUGCCUUUGAUAAUUUGCUAGACUAUGGCGAUGACAUUGAAGAACAAAUGAUUCAAGCUGCCAUUGAGGCCUCUAAGCGGGAUGCUGAGGCAAGUUUUAAAAAAAGGACGCUUCCAAUUUGAUAGUGUUGUGGUGCCCUUCAUUCUUGUAGUUGCUGUAAAUGCUUGUUUUACAGAUUGCCUUUUUCAUGUUUAAAGUGUUAAAGUGUUGCAAAUUGAAGUGUUUUAAGUAAUGCAAAUUGAAUUGUUUAGUUGCUGGAAAUUGAGAUGUUUUAUGGCCGUAAUUGAGUGUAUAAAUGUUGUAAAUUGAAGUGUUUUAUUGCUGGAAAUUGGAUGCAUGGUAUAAUGACAUGAUAGAAUGUCAUUACAAUGUUGUAACUUUUUGAUGUUGUAAAAUCAUAUGGAUUAUGACAUCUAAACUAAUGAAAUCGUGUAACUUUUUAUUAAUAUAUGAAUAUUAUGUUGGGAUGUGAAAUAUAAUUCUCAAGUUAUUUAUUACUUCUAAUAUCUAAUAUUUCAUUGUAGAAUAAUUAAAAUUAUUUGUUUCACUAAUGAUAUUUUAGCACAUUCAAUAUCUAUUGCAGUUUAAAAAUAAUAAUUUAGAUUAUAUAUUAUUUUUAUAGUAUUAUAUAUUAUGAUUUUAGUAAAUUCAUAUAAUAGUAAUUAUAUUAAGAAUUUUAUUAAAUUAUAUUUAAUAAUAAUUAUGUUAAAAUAUGGUUAAAUUAUUUAUUAUCUUUAUUAAAUUAUUUUUAAUAAUAAUCUUUUUAAAAUUUAAUAACAAUAACAAAAAUCAUCUACUUAAAAAAGAUUCUGCUAAGGGUAUUCUAGUCAUUUUAGUUUUUUCCUUAUGCAAUUACAACAUCAUUCCAUUCAACCAAACACAAGAAUACCAUUACAGUUCUAUUCCGUUCCAUUCAACCAAACAAUUGAAUUACUGAUUACAGCUCUAUUCCAUUACAGUGAACCAAAUAUAUCCUUAGUAUGAAUGGCUGUCGAGGCAUGUAGAAAUUUGCACACAAAAGAACAAAAUUGUGCACUACUUAAAACUUCAAAGCAUGUGUGGCCUUAAUUUAAUUUUUCAUCUUUUUUAGCCCUUAAACCUACAUUGUUUAUCAGAUGAAAAAAUUAAUAUCUAUUAACUUUGCUAAUGUGCAAGCAUAUGCAACUUCUUUUAAAUCUAAAAAAUAUAAAAAUAAUUAAAUAUGUAUAAAUCUAAAGAUAUCUUAAACUUAAAACUAAAAUUUUUUAAACUAAUGCAAAUUUUUAUUAUUUAAAAAAUCUUAAAAUUUUCAAAUUAAAUUCCAUUUGUUUUCCACCGUUGAAGAACACCUUUAAUCACAACUUCAUGCUGUAUUGCCUAGAAAUUGUUUUGCAAAUUUAUUUUGUUUUAUUUAUUUCUAAACCCAUAUUUCUUUUCUAUAACUCCAAUUAUUAGAUUGUUUAGGGUUUUGAGUAACUUUCGAUUUUGGAAUUUUAGAUUUUUUAAAUUUAAAUAUGAAGUGCUCUUCUUCUUCUCCAAACCCACAAAUUUUUCUGCCAAAUUUCUACUCAAGGUUUUACUUUCAGCUAUAAAUAAAGCGUAUAUUAUAUUUAUAAUGAUCUAAGAAUAGUAGAGUCGAUGCCGAUCUACAUGAAAAAGGAUGAAAAAAAAAGGCAAAGAAUGAUAAUAUGAAGAGAGCAUAAAUCAAUAAAGCAAAUGAAAAACGAGCAGGAUUAAAGUAAAUGGGUAUUUAAUAUUUUUUUGUGAAAGUUCAAAGACUGAUUAUUUAUAAAAUUGGAUGUGGAAAAAUUAGUUGGAAUUUUUUUUCUUACACCAAUUGAUUUUUUAUAUAAAAUUUUUAUUUAUUUUUAAGUGUUGAAACCACUUUUUGAAAACAAAAAAAAAGUGUUACUUUUAUUUUGAAAACGGAAACGAAAAAAUGGGAGUCGCCACCGAUAUUUUUUUUGAGGUGUGAUCGGAUCACCUUAAAACAAUUUUGGUCUACGAAUAAAAAAAUGGGUCCGGGAGUCAAUUACGUAGGAGGAAGGAUUAGCACCCUCAUAACGCCCAAAAUUGAUACCGAAUUGCAUAAUUAAUGUCUUAAAGUCGAAUGUCGAAAAUUCAAAAAGAUUAAAAAUGAUCCCCUUUAAUUAAUGACAUAUUUUUAAACAAUAUUUGUAUAAAUUUGAUCAUAUGUAGAAAGGUCUUCUCAUCCUGAGUCAACAAAAUGUCGUAUCCCAUAAGUUAGGAUGCGACAUUUAGAUUUCCGAGCAUAAUCUAGCCUUUAAAACCCUUUAUUGAAACUUUAUGUAUUUGAAAACUAAAAAUGUUUGACCAUCUUGGUUCAAUGAGGAAAUCGAAAACCCGUAAGUUAGGACAAAUUUCCUCAAAGUUCCAAAGACGAUAUAUACGUUUGCCUUUAUUUAAAAAAAAAAGAUACUCGGUUACUUAAAUUCAACGAGGAAAAUUGGAGCCUAAUAAGUUAGGGCACAAUCUUCUCGAAAAUAUUGGAUACCGGGUAUUACGUUAUUUUGAAAACUUUGAAUAAAAUGAUUUCAAUACUUUGACUAAACGCAACAUUUUAAAUGAAUAAAAUGCGAUGGAACAAUAACGUAUAACGCGAAGUGAUAAUUCGUAAACUAAAAUAUACGCUAAUGAUCGACAAAGAAUCAAUGAAUACGAGUAAGCAAUACAAUACAUCAUAUAAGAGCAACAAUCUCAUAUCCCACAUUAUGCAAAUACUAACAUCCAUUUUAGCAAGCUAAAUGAAUUAAAAGUUAAUUAAAGAACAGCAAGCAAAUUAAUGUAAAUCUAAUAUAACAAGCUUUAAAAUAAAAUAAAAAUAAAAAUCAUGAAAAAGAGGAAAAUUCAAACACUAAAUUGUAUGUAUAAAAUAUUUGGCACAAAUAAUAUAUAGGAAAACUUGCAAUAAAAAAAUGAAGAAAAUAAAGAAUAAAUAAGAUGCAAAAUAAUACAUGUUCAUCUAAAUAAGUAGUACAUAUAAAAUAAAAUUUUAAUAUAAAUGUUGAAAUAAACAAAGCGUGUAAUUGAACAUCAUUUCCACUAACUAGAUCCUUCUUCGUCAACUGCUGCGAUUGCCUUUCUUUGACUUUCUUUUUCGCCUCUUCUCAUGUUGGUUUUCAACCAAAUUCACCAACCAUUUCGGUUUUCCAGUUUGGAAAACAACAUAUCCCACCAACAUUCCGAACACUACUCCGCAUCCAUAACCUAUCAACACCACUUUCCAACCAAAAGUAAUGUUUGAUUUUGAGCCAUCUUUUUCAAGCACAUCUGGAGGUGUUGGCGCAAUGAUGUUGCAACCUUUCGAGACCGGAAACCCACAUAUGAAUCAUUUCCAAAUGUGUUGAAUUGUUUGCCUUGAGGAAUCUGACCAUGGAGUUGAUUUUCAGAAACAUUUAAGGACAAAAGAAAUGGCAGAUCUACCAAUCUAUUUGGAAUGGUUCCAGACAACCUGUUUGAAGAUAGUGUUGGCACAUAAUUAAAUUAACCUUGCACAAAUAAAUUAUGAAAAGUUAGAAGAGUGAAGAGACUUGAAUAUGAAAAGUGAAAAAACUUGAAUAUGAAUAGUGAAGAGACUUGAAGAUGAAAAGUUAAGAGGCUUGAAUAUGAAAAGAUACACACAUGCAUGAAUAGUCACAACUCCUAGCAUAUAGUGAUAUAGAUGAAUAGUCACUUACAACUCCUAUAUAAAGAGUUGUAUGUGAUGAAGAAUUAUUAACUUUGUGUGCUUGAAAUAAAAGAUUAUUUGAAAGAAUUUUUUCAUACAAAAUUUAUUUCUCUUCUCCAUUAUAUUCUUUAUCAUUUUCUUUGUUUUAUUUCUCCAAAUAUUAAUCAUUCAACUACAAAUUGGUAUCAAAGCCUUGUUCAAUCGAAAUGAACAAUUCUAUUCCUCUUUCUUCCGUUCCCCAAUUAACCAAAGAAAAUUAUGGCAAAUGGAGUAUCCAAAUGAAGGCUCUUCUUGGAUCUCUAGAAGUUUGGGAGAUUGUUGAAAAAGGUUAUAAUGAAGUUGAGGGUGAAGAGGAGGAAGGAUUAACACAAGUUCAAAAAGAGAGUCUAAGAAAAUCAAGGAAGAAAAAUCAGCAAGCCUUAUUUUGGAUAUAUCAAGGAGUUCAAUCAUAUGAAGCGGCUUGGGAAAAAAUAGCUUGUGCCACCACGGCAAAACAAGCAUGGGAAUUUUUACAAAAUUCAUUCAAAGGAGAUGAAAAGGUGAAAAGAGUUCGGUUGCAAACUCUUUGAGGAGAGUUUGAAAGAUUGCAAAAAAUAGAGUCAGAAUCAGUUUCUGAUUACUGUUCACGGGUUUUGUCCAUAGUCAAUCAAUUAAAAAGAAAUGGUGAAACUAUGGAUGAUAUUCGUGGUGUUGAGAAAAUCCUCCGUUCUUUAGAUUCCAAAUUUGACUACAUUGUGGUUGCCAUAGAAGAAUCAAAGGACUUGAGUACCAUGACUAUUGAUGAACUCACAGGUUCGUUGCAAGCCCAUGAAGAAAGAUUAAACAAGAAGAAAAAGGAAGUAGAUCUAGAUCAAGCACUUCAGUCAAAGUUGUCUCUAAAUGAGAAUAAGGGAGAUUUUAAAAAUCAAAGAGGGAGAGAUCGUGGUCGUGGAAGAGGAAGAAAUUUUAGAGGAAGAGGCUCAAAUGCUCGUGAAAGAGGUGAAGAUGUAAGCAUGGAGAAUGGAUGGAAAGAAGCCAACCAAAGUCAAAAUUUUAGAGGAUCACAAAGAGGACGUGGACGUAGAAAUCAAAGAGGAAGAGGUCGUGGCUAUUUUGAAUGUUAUAAUUGUCGCAAACCUGGUCAUUUGGCAAGUGAAUGCUGGUACAAAGAAGAAGAGAAAAAUGAAGCUAAUAUAGUACAAAAUAAUCAAGAGCAAAAGCAAGAAACUUUGUUGCUCGUAUCUCAUGGUGGAGAGAUUGAUGAUGUCUGGUACAUAGACAGUGGUGCUAGCAAGCAUAUGACAGGUAACAAAAAUUUAUUUUCGAAGUUCUUUGAAUCUGAUUGUGGAGAAGUAAAAGUAGGAGAUGGCAAAGCUUACAAAGUUAGCGGUGUUGGUGAGUUGGAGUUCAAAACAAAGCAAGGAAGGGUAGAGAAAAUGUCUGAAGUUUAUUUUGUUCCUGGUCUUAAAAAUAAUCUGCUUAGCGUUGGGCAUCUCUUGAAGAAGGGGUAUGAUAUUCAUUUCCGAGACAUGGCUUGCUAUUUAUCAAAGAAAAAUCAGGUUGUUGCUAGAGUUGGAGUGGCAUCAAAUAAUCUUUUCUCUCUUACCCUUCAAAAUCAGAAUAUGUCUUGUUUUAUUGGUGCUCAUAAAGGAAUUUCAAAGUUAUGGCAUGAUAGAUAUGGACAUUUAAACUAUGGAAAUUUGGAGAUGCUUUCAAGGAAGAUGAUGGUUAGAGGUUUACCAAAAAUCGAUCGGCUUGAUGAUGUUUGUGAAGCAUGUCAACUUGGAAAGCAACAUAAAAUUGCUUUUCCUUCUCAAUCCUCGUGGAAAGCAAGAAGACCAUUGCAACUUAUUCACUCAAAUCUUUGUGGUCCAAUGACAGUUUCAUCUUUAGGAGGUAAUCGUUACUUUAUCUCUUUCAUUGAUGAUUACUCAAGAAAGUUAUGGGUGUAUUGUGUCAAAGAAAAAUCAGAGGCUUUUCAGAGAUUCAAAGAUUUCAAGGCAGAAGUGGAGAACUUUACUGGGUUGAAAAUUAACACCUUGCGUACAGAUCGUGGAGGUGAAUAUUUUUCAAAAGAAUUUGAGAAAUAUUGCCGAGAUAGUGGCAUCCGGCAUGAAAUGACAGUCCGCCAUACACCUCAGCAAAAUGGUGUGUGUGAAAGAAAGAACAGAACAAUUAUGGAAAUGGCUAGAUGUCUUCUUAAUAAGAAGAGGUUAUCAAGAAGAUUUUGGGCUGAAGUUGUUUCCUGUGCAGUUUAUCUUAUAAACAGAUCACCGACAAGAAGCUUGGAGAAUUACACACCACAUGAGGCGUGGUAUGGUAUAAAGCCUAGUGUUAGUCAUCUUAGAGUAUUUGGGAGUGUUGCCUACUCUCUAUUCCAGAUGCAAUGAGAAGCAAGUUGGAUGACAAGUCAGAGAAAUGCAUUUUUAUUGGCUAUAGUGAAAGAAGUAAGGCAUACAAGUUGUAUAAUCCGGUGACAAAGAAGAUUGUGAUAAGCCGAGAUGUUCGGUUUGAUGAAAAUUCCAUGUUUGAAGAUAUGGAAGUUGAAAAGGAAAAUUUGCCAAUUUUUCCUUUUGAACUUGAAGAAGAAGAAGAGGCAGUAAUUGAGAAUGCUGAAGAUGAUGCUCAAGUAGAAAAUCCUCCUGCUUCCCCAUGUUCUUCAUCAAAUUCUUCUUCAUCCAGCCCGAUCCGAAAAACGAGAAGCAUCCAAGAGUUAUAUGAUGUAACGGAUGAAGUUGUGCAAAAUGAUGCUGUAUUCUUUGCCUUCUUUGCAGGAGAAGAUCCAAUUUCUUUUGAUGAUGCAUAUCAAGAAGAAAUAUGGAGGAAAGCCAUGAAAUAAGAGAUUUUCUCAAUUGAAAACAAUGAUACAUGGGAACUCACAGAUUUACCGCCGCACAAGAAUUCAAUUGGAGUCAAAUGGGUGUACAAGACAAAGAUGAAUCCGAAUGGCUCUAUCAACAAGUACAAGGCAAGACUGGUUGCAAAAGGAUACAAGCAAAAGGAAGGAGAAGAUUUUACAGAGGUAUUUGCUCCAGUUUCAAGACUUGAGACAGUUCGGUUACUUAUUUCUCUUGCUGCCCAAAAUAAUUGGAAAAUAUUCCAAAUGGACGUAAAAUCUGCGUUUUUGAAUGGUGUUCUCAAAGAAGAAGUCUAUGUUGAUCAACCACCAGGGUUUGUCAAAAAAGGAGAAGAAGAAAAAGUUUACAAGUUGAAGAAAGCUUUGUACGGGUUGAAGCAAUCACCCAGAGCAUGGUACAGCCGCAUCGAUUCUUAUUUUCAGAAGUGUGGAUUCCAGAAAUCUCCAUAUGAGCAUACUCUCUACAUCAAAGGCAAUUAUCAAGGAAGAUUCAUGGUUGUAAGUCUCUACGUUGAUGAUCUUAUUUUCACAGGAAAUGAUGUGAAGAUGUUGAAAGAAUUUCAGCACUCAAUGAUGGCAGAAUUUAAGAUGACAGAUUUGGGAGAACUUCAUCAUUUUCUUGGCAUUGAAGUUCAUCAAUCCGAGAAAGGAAUUUUUAUUUCACAAGAGAGCUACGCAAAGGAAGUUCUAAAAAAAUUCAUGAUGGAAAAUGCGAAUCCAGUCUCUACUCCAUGCAUUACAGGUCUGAAGUUAUCUAAAGAGGGUGAAGGAAAGCUUGUCAAUUCCACCAUAUUCAGAAGUUUGGUUGGGAAGUUGAUGUAUCUGACUUCGACAAGGCCUGAUAUCGUGUAUGUUGUUAGCUUGGUAAGUAGAUUCAUGGAGAAACCUUACUCCAAUCACUGGGAGGCUGCCAAGAGAAUAUUGAGAUAUGUGAAGGGAACCAUUGAUUAUGGAAUUUUCUAUAAAUCUAAUACAUUAGUUGAUCUCAUUGGUUAUACGGAUAGUGAUUUAGCAGGAAGCAUUGAUGAUAGCAGAAGCACUUCUGGUUAUGUUUUUCACCUUGGUAGUGGUGCAGUUUCAUGGAGUUCAAAGAAACAAUCAAUUGUGGCGCUUUCGACUAUAGAAGCUGAAUAUAUCGCUGCAUCUUAUGCAGGAUGUCAAUUGAUUUGGUUACGUGGAAUUUUGGAAAGUCUUAAGCAGAAGCAAAGCAAGUCAACAAUUUUGUUUUGUGACAAUAGUUCUACUAUUUCGGUCACAAAAGAUCCAAUUCUUCAUAGAAGGACAAAACACAUUCGCAUUCGAUAUCACUUCUUGAGAGAACUAGUGAAUAAUGGUGAUGUUCAAGUUGAAUAUUGCAAGACGGAAGAUCAGAUGGCUGAUAUCUUCACAAAGCCUCUAAGUGGACAAGUCUUCAAGAAAAAUGUUGAAAGGUUGGGAGUUCAAAGCAAGUUUAAUUUAAGGGAGGCAUUGUUGGCACAUAAUUAAAUUAACCUUGCACAAAUAAAUUAUGAAAAGUUAGAAGAGUGAAGAGACUUGAAUAUGAAAAGUGAAAAAACUUGAAUAUGAAUAGUGAAGAGACUUGAAGAUGAAAAGUUAAGAGGCUUGAAUAUGAAAAGAUACACACAUGCAUGAAUAGUCACAACUCCUAGCAUAUAGUGAUAUAGAUGAAUAGUCACUUACAACUCUUAUAUAAAGAGUUAUAUGUGAUGAAGAAUUAUUAACUUUGUGUGCUUGAAAUAAAAGAUUAUUUGAAAGAAUUUUUUCAUACAAAAUUUAUUUCUCUUCUCCAUUAUAUUCUUUAUCAUUUUCUUUGUUUUAUUUCUCCAAAUAUUAAUCAUUCAACUACAGAUAGGUCCAACCAUUCAAGACUUGUCAAAUCCCCUACUGAGGUAGGGAUACCACUAUUAAGGUUAUUAUGAGAAAGGUUGAGCCCUUUCAGUAAGUUAAGCUUCCCAAUAACCUUUGGAAUCUCCCCUUCAAACUGAUUGCUUGAUAGAUCAAUGAUCACCCACAUAGUGAAAAUUUUCACCAAUUCCACGUCUUGUCCUUUCAUAACAAUUCCAAUGGAAUAGGCAUAGAAGUCAUCUCCAUCAUUCACCCCCAUGUACGACACUGUACUACUAACCUUCUCUAGAUUUAUGAUAGCCUUGAAGCUGUUGAUGUAUCUCACUAGUAGGGGUCCAGAAAAAUAAUUACUUGAGAGGUCAAAAAUUUGGAUUUUAGAGAAAAAAGGGCUAGACUUGGAGUUAUUGACACACAGGGAACCAUGCAUUUGAUUUGACUUUAGUACAAGAACUUGUAGCUGUGGAAGACUUCCCAACCAAUGAGGAAAUGUAUCAUUGAUCUUGUUGUUACCAAGAUCUAGUACUUCCAGACCUCUACAAUUAAGGAUGGAUGGUGUCAAAGGCCCUCCUAACAGAUUUCCAUUUAAAUUGAAAUUACUCAAUUGGCAUCCCAUUGCAAAUGUUGGAGGAAUCGUCCCAUAGAACUUGUUCUUCUUCAGAUUCAAGAAUUGAAGGCUGUUGCUCAAAUUUCCAAAACACUGCGGAAUUGUUCCACUCAAGUAAUUGUGGGACAAAUCAAGAAUUUGAAGAUAAGUGGCAUUGCAUAUUAAUGAAGAGACCUCUCCAUUGAAACAAUUAUUUGAGAUCAAAAAGACAGUGAUGGUCGAAGCUGGAAUCGGAAGAUUUCCACUGAUCAAAUUGGAGCUUAAGUCAAGAACAUCAAUAUUCUUCCAUGGAAAGUGCUCAGCUUCUGUCAAAGAGUUGUGAAAUACAUUUAAGUAAGUCAAAGAGCCAUUCCCCACCUCUUGCAUCCACUAUGGAAUCUUGCCUUUAAUUUUGUUGCAAGAGAGGUCUAAGCUUUCCAAACUUUUAAGCCCUUUUAAAAAUUGGGGGAAUUCACUAAGAUUGCAAGAUGACAAAAAUAACCAUUCAAGAUUUCCACUGAUCAAAUUGGAGCUUAAGUCAAGAACAUCAAUAUUAUGACGAUAUAUAAGUUUCCCUUUAUUUUUUAAAAAAAAACCUCGUCUCGAGAUAUCGAAAGGUCAUAUCCAAUGAGUUAGGACACAACGUUUUGAAUUCCCGAGAUAAGCUUUAAUUUGAAAUUUUUAUAUUUUAAUUAAAAAAUGAUACUCAGUUACUUAAAUUCAACGAGGAAAAUUGGAGCCCAGUAAGUUAGGGCACAUUCUUCUCGAAAAUCUUGGAUACCGGGUAUUACGUUAUUUUGAAAACCUUUGAAUAAAACGAUUUCUAUACUUUGAUUAAAUGCAACCUUUUAAACGAAUAAAAUGCGAUGGAACAAUAACAUACAACCCGAAGUGAUAAUUCGUAAACUAAAAUAUAUGCUAAUGAUUGACAAGGAAUCAAUGAAUACGAGUAAGCAAUACAAUACAUCAUAUAAGAGCAACAAUCUCAUAUCCCACAUUAUGCAAAUACUAACGUCCAUAUUAGCAAGCUAAAUGAAUUAAAAGUUAAUUAAAGAACAGCAAGCAAAUUAAUGUAAAUCUAAUAUAACAAGCUUUAAAAUAAAAUAAAAAUAAAAAUCAUGAAAGAGAGGAAAGUGCUAAGGGAUAAGAUUGAAGGCCCGUAAUAUGAUCGCAAGACAAAGAAGCACGCUCUGUUAUGGAAAAAGAGUUCUUGAACUGGAUUAAUGAAGAGCAGGAGUGAGAUCCUGAAGAAGAAAAAGAAGCAUAAAGAUGGGGAAAAAAGAGGAAUAGGGAGAGAAAGAGAUAGGAGGCCAUGUUAUGUUUGUAGAGGAAGAAGGAUAGGAAUGGUAUUUAUAGGCAACAAAUAAUACCACAACAUUGGUGUUACAGUCUUUUUUUUCUUUUACAUUGAAAUGCUACAGAUAUUAGAUUUUCAAAAUAUUUGUAUUUUUCACAAUCAUCAACACUUAGUCGUCAUUUUACCAUAUAUUUUUCAUUCUUUUUUUUUUUAACAAAAUCUUGUAUAUCAUUUGGACUCGCUAAACAACUAAAAAAAUAAAGAUUGAUGAGAUUACAAAGUAGAUUGACUUAGUCUUCUUCCCUAUAACAUGUAAAGAAUGUAUGUGUCUAUUCAAUUGCCUGUCAACCAAAGCUUAUUAAUGUGGAAAUUCUUUUCCACACAAAAGAACAAAAUUGUGCUCUAUUCAGCUACGUUUGAGGAAGGAGACGGCUGGAAAUUUAAUCCACCGAUUCCAUAAAAACGUGUAUAUUUAUUUAUAAAUAUAUAUAUAACCUCAUGAUUCAAAUCUAAAAUCUCAUUUGUUAUAAAUUCUUAUAAAUUUAUUUGGGAAUAGUUAUUUUUCAUUCGUUAAUUAUUUCUCUUUUAGCCGUGAAACUUAUAUGGUUCGUUAAAUCGCCCCAAAAAAUGAUAAAAAAGAUUAACAAAACUAGCCCCUACGUGGCUGAUGUUGACCCUUAGUAGUUAAUGGCAACUCCUAUGUAAUUGUUAACAGAUACCACAGCAACAAUGUUUGUUGACGUGACAAUGCCACAUGACCAAUAAUCGUUGUCAUGGUAGUGCCACGCCGUCACCCAUUGAUGACAUAUUAACCUUCGAGUUAAACUCAAAUUGCUCUUUCCUUUGUUAUAAAUUAAGAGUAUAACUAAUUUUGAUAAGAAUAGUUACUUUUCAUUAACUCAGUUUAAAGGACUAUAACACGUAAAGUUUGGUCUAUUGCAGAAUUCACAUGCAAUGCGGGAUAUUUACAUUUUGAAGAAUUCAACACAUAUAUGGGAAUUUUUGUAUUUCCACAAUCAUAAUUUUGUUAGUGAUCAACAACUACUUCCUCCUUACCAUAUAUUUUUCAUUCAUAAAAUUGAUUACUUUUUUUAUCAAAGAAGUAAAAUAAUUAACAUUCUUAAGAUUACAAAGUCUUCUUCCUUAUAACACGUAAAGUUUAGUUCCAAAUAAUUUUCCACAAAAAAAAGACCAUCAAUUGUCGAUUGACUAUACUUUAACUCCAAAAAAAAGACUAAGACUAUCAAUUGUCUAUUGACUACACUUUAACUCGACAAAAAAGGACUAAGACUAAGACUUUCAAUUGUCUAUUGACUUCACACUUGCGGUUGCUUCCUCCUAUCUCUCUCACCCAAACUUAAUUUAGAAGCAAUGGGGAAAUUUUGGACAUUUGGGCCACAAUGAACAAUACUUCCACACCAUUUGCAGUAUUGACUACGUUUACUUGAGGGAAAACAAAGACAUGAAUGCUGGAAAUUUUAACUAGUUUGUACCGUCAAUGAAGCUACGUACCUAAAAGCCUUUUAGGAUAUCAAUUCCUGUAAUUGGAUUAAUCUCAUCGUUGCUGCAAUCUUUUGACAGUGUAAUCGAAUCUUAAAUAUGUUACUCUGCAAUGCUGUUGUAAAAAUUACUCUUAAAAUUGUCGAUAGAUAUAUAGGUUUGGCACAAAAUUAAGAAUACACAAAGGCAGGUUGAAUUAUUCCAUGUUUGAACAUAAAUUCAUAUGGCAAAAGGGCCCAAACCAUACCUUAUGUUCAUGAAUUCUCAUCAUCACAUGUUUAUAAAUGCAUCUCAAAACUUGAAUAAUUGAAUCUUUUGUAAUUCUACAUGUAUUUUUUUUUAUGGUGAGCAGUAUAAUGUUUACUAAAAAUUGAAAUUCAAGAAAGAAGACAUACAUAGUUGCACCAUACAAGUUGUUACACUCGAACUAAACCCUUACAAAUAGUACGAGAUGCAAUGAAAUACAGAGGAAUUGGUACAAUCAUAAAGACAGACACAUACCAAUGCAACUUUUCACCAUAGGAAAAACUUUCUGACAGACUACUAAACAAGAAAUUAUGAAGACACAGCAGAAAUGCUUUGACUUCUUUUGCACCAACUAGAUCCUUCUUCAUCCAUUGAUGCGAUUGCUAUAUUUUGGCUUUCUUCUUCGCCUCUUCUCAUGUUGGUUUUCAACCAAAUUCACAAACCUUUUCACCUUACCGGUUUGGAAAACAACAUAUCCCAUGGCCAUUCCAAACACUACCCCGCAUCCACAACCUAUCAACACCACUAUCCAACCAAAAGCAAUGUUUGCUUUUGAGCCAUCCUUUUCCAGCACAUUUGGAGGUGGUGUCUCAUUGAUGCUGCAACCUUUGGAGACUGGGAAUCCACAUAGUCUCUGUUUCCUUCAUAUGAAUUGUUUCGAAAUGUAUUGACAAUCUGACCAUGGAGUUGAUUUUCAGAAACGUUUAAGAAGAAAAGAAAUGCCGGAUCUGCCAAUAUCUCUGGAAUUAACUCAGUUCAAAUGACCAUAUAACUCGUAAAGUUUGGUCGAAGACUGGCAGCGUCUAUUGACUUCAACUCUUGCUAUUACCUCAAGAAGAAAGACUGCUACAAUUCUAUCUUCUUUAAACCAGCUAUUUAAAAGCAAUAAGGACAUUAAAUCCACCAAUUUAUCUUUGAAGUCAUUCGUCAUGCAGCUCUGCUAUGUACGAUUAUUGGCAAAAAUCUUGAAAGGAGACAACCUCAAAUUUGAAGACAAGAAAUGAGCAAGAACAUGCACCAACGAAGAAUCGAUUAUUGUUUUGUAUUUGGUAAAUACAAUUUGAGUUAAAUAAUCAAGAAUGAUAGUGAAUAAAUAAGGAAAAACAAUGUAGAUUCAGAACCACAAUAAAUCAUAUUAAGCUCAUGAGUUUAUAAUAUAUAUCUCUGCAGCUUGAUUGCCUUGUUAGCUAUAAACAUAACCUGUUAAUUCCAUCAUUAAUACCAUUAGAUAUAUUUUGAUGGGGGAGAUUUUUUAGUAGGAAAACAGUUGAAGUCAUUCAAGAAGACAUAAACAGCUGCAACUACGUAAGAGUUUAACUUUGAGAAUAGAUCCUUACACGUUAUUGAAAUGCCAUACUAAAGAUAAAGACAUAUAGCUAAACGUUAGACACACCAUAAAAAUAUAUAUAGGUAAAGUGAUAGGGUGUGAGUAAGGAGGCCAUGCUAUGUUUUCAAAUAAGAUUAUCAUGGUAUGAAUUAUGAGAACCCUAUUUAUAGGAAGAACAAAACCGAUAUGAAACUAAGAAUAUAGUCCAUUGAUAAUGAAGAAUCUAAGAAAUUUAAUGGAAAUUGUGGAUAAGCAUCGUGUUUUUAUCUCUGAUGGAGAAAAGCUAAGAGUGUGAGGAAGACCAACUGUCAAUGUCACCCAAACCGAAUCUACAAGUCACCACAAUGUACAGUAAUUCAAAGCAGGAAAAGUUCAUAGUUUCAGAGUAAAUAACACUUCAAUGAUUGUAUUAUAGAAAACAUGUGUAUCCUAUAUAUGUUGAACAAUAUUAUCUAACAAACAUAUUUUCCAAAAGACUAGAAAAUUUGUGAUUAAAUGCUAAAGUUACAUAUUUUAUGUAAUUAAAUUGGUUAAUUUAUGAGAGUGCACCACUAAUUUUUCCAUGUUUUUGUUGAAUUUUGUGCAGGGGUGCAAUUUGGGGCUAAAUAGAAGAAAAAGGAAACAAUUGGGCUAGAUUGAAGAGAGAAGCAAAGAAGGAGGGCCAAAACAGAAUUUUUCCAGAUUAAUUAGCUGAAAUUUUUGUUGACUUAGUGGGAGAUUAUUUUGGGAUUUUUUUUUAUAUCAUGGAAUAUUUUUCCUUAAUUUUCUAUACUAGUUGGCUUUUAAUUUAGCAAGGCCACUAGUAUAAAUAGAGGCUACAUUGUUCAUUUUAAUCAUCAAGUCUUGAAUCAAUUCAUAAAUCAAGCUUUCAUCUUUCAAUACAUUCUCUCUUUUCUACUCACAAAUUUAUUUGUUGUUUUUAGUUUCAUUUACUUUCAAUCCAUUAAUUUCCAGCUUGUUACCACUUAAACCAUUUUCAAUUUCUUUUUCAAACUUUCUUUCCAUCUCCAGUAGCUAAUUCACUUUAUUACACCCCCAAAAUUCCAGCCCCCCAAACUAAAUCACGCCACCCAUUCCUUUCACCCAUUUUACCUUAUUUAAUUUAUCCAAUACCAACAUGCCCCAAACCUUAGCCAACUAAAUUCAUUUCCAGCUUUAGGUCGGAAUUAGCCUCGUCAAAACCCGUGAGUUACGAACCCGAGCAAAUUAACUCCUAAAUUUUAGUACUUAUUAUUUCUCCGGAUUAAGAGUAUGAUUUUGUCAACUCACAAAGUCAGAUCAACAUUAAGUUAAAAAAGACGUCGUUUGAUUUAGUGUGGUUAGACGUACAGUUGGAAUUCCAAAAAGAUCGAUUCUAAUCGGUUUUCUGUGAACACAUUGGCGUGCCAAUUGGAGAUUGCUGUUUGGUUCCGUCAAGGGAAGUAGUAACCCGAUUUAAAUGUCCCACGCGGUUGAGGGCAUUGGUUCGAGCUAGGGUUUUCUAGAACGCAAAGCUGCCGGAGUUCUAAAUCACGAACAUUUCGUGGUUGUUCGAUCAGUAAGGGUUAGUUAUUGGACGUUCCAUAACUAAUUUACACAAGGAAGAGUUAGUGUCUGAGGCGUCCUUGGUAGCUAUAACUAGCUUAUUGGAAAAGAGGAGUUCAUCUAAUUUUGAGAAUCGGUUCAAAGACGAGGAAAAUUCGUGCCUAAAGCUGAGCUUAUUCUAAUUAAAUUUUCUUCAUAUUUAUUUAACUAUUUUAAUUAUUCUGUUUUCAACUUUAUCUUUUCACGCAUUUUAUUUAUUUAUUUCAGGUCUUCAAAUUUUAUCCCCCCGAACUUCUUGGGCACGACAACUGCCCCAACAUAAAUCUGGUCAAAAUAGAAACAAUUUGCAGUAAACCCAGUCUCUGAGGGAUCGACCCUACUCCCUAUACUGUUUAAAUCGCAAAUUAGGCGUAGGUUUAUAUUGGUGGAUUCGACACCCAUCAAUUUGUAUGUCAUUUUCUAUUACUUGCAAGAAAACUACAGGGGAAAUUGCAUUUCUAAUUCAUCCAUAGGCUUUAAAUUCAAACAAGAAAAAGGAAAAAGAAUAUAUAUAUAUCAACAGGAAACUUCAAGGAGAGAAAUUUUGUUACAUCAAUUUUCCAGUCAUAUUUAAUCUUUACCCAAAGUUGAUUCUAGAUUAAAUUUGGAAAAAAUUAAAAAAGAGGACAUGUAUUUUUUUUUAUUUUUGAAAAGUAAAGGAUUAUAUCUCAGCCAAAUAAAAAAGUCACAAUGCAAAGCCAAGAGCCAAAGCCAAGCCAAGCACACACUCAACUAGCAGACAUAACUCAUACAGGACCUAGAUGUAUUAUUGAACUCUUAUAUAAAAGACAACUGAAGAUGCAAAGCUUAAUUGUUAAGCUUUUCUGAUGCUUGAUAAGCAUAGUUUUAGUUCAGUUCCGAAAUCUAAACUGCUUUGCUAUGGGAUUAUUUUUAUAAGUACAUUGAGAUCAAUGCAUGCUAUUGCGAUUUAUUAUCUUUGAUGCCAAGGAAAUGACAGAAUUCAAAGACCAAAAGGUUCGAUUACAUACUAGAUCAUGGAUGUAAGCCAAUCUACAACCUCUCUCCUCGACCUCCAUGUGAAACCAGCAUGAUUUGAAUUCUCAGCCGCAUAUACCCUCACAAACUCCUCAGCAACAACAUAAAACAUAUACCUAACACUCCUUUGAGAACCGAUAACUGCACAGACAGAUUCACUAAUGGAAGCCUUCAAGAAAUAUUGAACCACACAAUUACCACACUUCUGUGAAAUAAACUUGUUGGUGCAAAGAGACAACAAUAGACUGUUUUCAAUCUUGCUUGUAUAGCAAGCCUCGAGCCUUGCUGAAGAAACAAACUCAAAAGCAAGAACAGAAACACAUGCGAAUGAAAAACAAAAGAAAUUGAGAGAGAGAGUAUUUUGAAUGAAAAGAGCUGAUAUUUCAUUAACAAAUCCAGAAGGCAUAAUGCCAUUACAUAUAAUAGAUAACAACAACAAAAUGAACAAGUCUUUACCUAAUGACAUACCUAACACCACUAAAUUUACAUUGGAAAUUGUUAAUCAGCUUGCUUAAGUUUCUUUGCUGAUUUUUUCAGUCAAUCAAUCAACAAAAAACAUCAUAAGGUUUACCAACUUAGUUCAACAUGAACUAGAUUACAAAAUAAUAAUUAAAAAUACAAUCAAAACAUAACAAGUAGUUAGGCAACUUUAAGCUCCAGUUUCUGCACUUCAUAGCUCGACUGCUUGCUGCCACUUCUCCUUGCAUGGCCACCUUUGCAUGUCUUGCAUGGGAACUAAAUUCAACACUCCUCCUUAGUUUCCAUGCUAGUGACACCUAAUUGCCUUCUUAAUUUAACAAAUUUAGACACAUUGAGUGCCUUUGUAAAGAUAUCAGCAAUUUGCUCUUCUGAAUUGCAAUGAACCAGCUCGAUUUCAUGAGCUUGCUCCAUCUCCCUUAUGACAUGUAGCUUGAUGUUGAAGUACUUUGCUCUACCAUGAAAGAUAGGAUUCUUUGCAAUUGCAACAGCAGAUUUGUUGUCACAGUAAAUCUCUGUUGCCUUUCCUUGAUUUUGAUUUAAAUCAGCUAGGAUUUUUCUAAGCCAUAUGGCUUGAUUUACAGCAGAUGCAGCAGCAACAUAUUCAGCUUCUGCUGUUGACUGUGCUACCAGACUUUGCUUUUUAGAACUCCAGCAAAACAUGCCUGAGCCAAGACUAAAGGCAUAUCCAGAUGUGCUUCUCAUGUCAUCACAAGAUCCAGCCCAGUCACUAUCAACAUAGCCUAUUAGCUUCAUGUUUAUAGCCCUUUUGAACAAUACACCAUGAUCAAUGGUGCCUUUGAUGUAUCUAAGCACUCUUUUAGCUGCUUGAAAGUGCUGAUCAUUGCAGCAAUUCAUGUAUCUGGAUAGCACACUAACAGCAAACAUGAUAUCGGGUCUUGUUGCAGUCAAAUACAACAGACUACCAAUGAGACUUUUGUACAUAGUCUCGCAAAUUGGUUCACCACUCCCUUGCCUCGAAAGCUUCACUCCAACAGCCAUUGGUGUGCUUGUUGGCUUGCAGUUCUUCAUAGAGAACUUAUCCAGGAUCUUCAUAGUAAAAGAACUCUGACUAAGAAAGAUUCCCUUUGCUGUUUGCUUCACUUCCAUUCCAAGGAAGUAGUUCAUUCUGCCUAAAUCAGACAUUUCAAACAUUUCCAUCAUUUUUCUUUUGAAAUCUUCCAGCAUUCUUCUAUCUCCUCCAGUCACCAAUAAAUCAUCAACAUAGAGUGACAGGAUAAGCUGAGUUUCAGCUUGGUUCUUCUUCACAUACAGUGUUGGUUCACUGAGACUUCUCUCGAAUUCCAAACUGAGCAAGUAAGAAUCAAUUCGAGCAUACCAGGCUCAAGGAGCCUGUUUUAGGCCAUACAAAGCCUUUUUCAGUCUGUACACCUUGUGUUCUUUGCCAGUGACCACAAAUCCUUGAGGCUGUUCGAUGUAGAUCUCUUCUUCCAGGAAACCAUUGAGAAAUGCAGACUUAACAUCAAGCUGAUGAAUGGUCCACUGAUGUUGAGCAGCCAAGGCAACUAUCAUUCUAACUGUGUCAAGCCUGGCUACUGGUGCAAAUGUCUCCAGAUAGUCCAGACCAUACCUUUGGCUAAAACCUUUGACAACAAGCCUGGCUUUUAGCUUGUUCAGACUGUCAUCUGCAUUCUGUUUUGCUCGAUAGACCCAUUUUACUCCAAUGGUCUUCUUUCCAGUAGGUUUAUCAACUAGCUCCCAUGUCUGGUUCUUCUCAAUCAUGUUGAUUUCAUCGACCAUAGCUAGUUUCCAGCCUUCAUCUGCCUCAGCCUCUUCAAAACUGCUAGGUUCUGCUAUUGCAACCUGUGCCCUUUCAUAAAUAUCAUCUAGGGGCCUUGUGCCUCUCACAAGCACAUCAUCAACAUCCAUUUCAGGUCCUAGCUGCUCAAGUUCAGCUUGAUUAGGCACCAGGUCUUCUGAAGCAGCUUCUGGUUCAUUCUUUUCCCAAUUCCAACAAGCCUUCUCAUCGAAGAUGACAUCUCUGCUCACUUGAACUAUGUUUGUCAAAGGAUCCAGCACCCUGUAGCCCUUCUUAACUGAGCUAUAGCCUACUAGAACACCUGGUUGAGCCCUUUCAGAGAGCUUGUCUCUCUUAACUGCUGGUAUUUGUGCAUAACACAGGCAACCAAACACCUUCAGAUGUACCAAGGAAGGCUUGAAACCGGACCAAGCCUCGAAAGGUGUUUUGGAUGCAAGAGCUUUGGUAGGAAGCCUAUUUUGAAGGUAGACAGCAGUGUUUACUGCCUCAGCCCACAUGGUCUUGGGCAGUUUCUUCUCAAACAGCAGGCACCUGGCCAUAUCCAUCAAGCUUCUGUUCUUUCUUUCUGAUACCCCAUUCUGCUGAGGUGUGUAGACAUUUGUAAGCUGGUGUUUGAUACCAGCAUCAUUGCAAAUGGCUUGAAACUGAGCUGAAGUGUACUCAGUGCCAUUGUCUGACCUUAUCGAUUUCAGCUUGCAACCUGUUUCUGUCUCUACAGCAAUUUUAAACUUCACAAACACUUGAGCUACCUCAAACUUGUGUUUUAAGAAGAAAAUCCAGCAAAACCUUGUAAAAUCAUCAAUGAAGAGGAUGAAAUACCUAUUUUUCUUGAGUGAUUCAGUCCUCAUCGGGCCACAUACAUCAGAGUGCACCAGCUGUAGUUUUUUAGUAGCUCUCUAAGCUGAAUUUGUAGGAAAUGGCAGUCUUGCCUGUUUCCCCAUCUGGCAAACUUCACACACAUCAUCAUGCUCCACUGAGCUAGUAAAGUUCUCUGCCAAGCCUUCUUUGGCCAUUCGAGCCAAUGAUCUGAAGUUGGCAUGCCCAAGCCUUUGAUGCCAAAGCUUGGAAUCAUCAACAGAGGCUGUAUAUGCAGACUUUGAGUCAUUUGGCCAGUGUACCUCAAAGCAUUUGUUAGUCAUUGUGACUGUCAUAAGGCUUGAUCCACUUGGAUCAGCAAUGUGGCACUGUUUGUUCUUGAACACAACAGAAUAGCCUUUCUUGAGCAAUUGAGCUAUGCUGAGAAGGUUUCUGUCGAUUUCUGGCACUAACAGCACAUUUGGAAUGAUCUUGUUGCCUGUGGGGGUACAUAUCAGCACCUCUCCUCUUCCUUCAGCCCUUAUGAACUGACCAUUUCCAACCUUGACCUUGGUUUUACAACUUCUAUCCAAGGUUUUAAAUAAGGAGGCAUCUGGUGACAUGUGGUUAGUGCAACCACUGUCCAAUAACCAGCCUUUUGAGCAUUUCUUCUCAGCAGCUAAGAAAGAAACAGCAAAGACCUGCUCUUCUUGAUCACUACUGUCCUCAGCUACUCGAGCUUCAACCUUUGGUUGUUGAAAUUGACUCUGCCUUGACUUGGUUUUAUUUUUGCAAACCCUUUCAACAUGGCCUUUCUUCUUGCAGUGUUGGCAUACUGCAUCUGGCCUGAACCAGCAUCUGUCUUCUGGAUGACCUGGCCUCUUGCAAUGUCUGCAGGGCUGGUCAUUGCUCCUUGCAGUAUCAGGCUUAGGCCUGCUUUUCCAAGGCUUUUUACCUCUUGGAGCAUUGAUGCUCGAGGCUUCUCUGGCCUUGGCAUUGAAUGCACCUUCCUGGUGGUCUUCAGCUCUGCUAGCUCUCCUUUGUUCCUGAGCAUAGAAAGUGUUGAUUAGCUCAGUCAAAGAGAUGGUAGCAAGGUCUCUUGAGUCCUCAAGAGAGGAUAUCUUGGCCUCAUAUCUCUCAGGCAAAGUGGAGAGAACUUUCUCUACUAUCCUUGCCUCAUCAAAGUGCUCACCAAGGAGCCUUAUACUGUUAACCACUGCCAUGAUUCUAUCUGCAUACUGCUUCACUGUUUCUUCUUCCUUCAUCUUCAGGUUCUCAAAAUCCCUUCUCAAAUUCAAUAGCUGUUGUUGCCUUGUUCUCUCAGUGCCUUGAAACUCCUCCUUAAGCUUAUCCCAUGCCUGUUUUGGAGUCUCACAGGCCAUAAUUCUGGUGAAGAUGACAUUUGACACACAAUUCUGAAUGCAGGACAUGGCUUUGUGCCUUUUGGUCCUCUCAUCAGCAUGUUGCCUAAUCUGAGCUACUGUGGGAUUGGCCCUCAGUGGUGCUGGCUCAGCAUCUGUGUUGACAACUUCCCACAGAUCAAAGGCCUGUAGGUAAGUCUUCAUCUUGACCAGCCAUAUGUGAAAGCCUUCUCCAUUGAAGACUAGUGGGGCUGCUGGUGAAAAACUUGAGGAAGACAUUCAGCUUUCUUAGUUUGAUAAAACAGGUCCACUAAGAAUGAAGCUCUAGAUACCAAUUGUUGGUGCAAAUAGACAACAACAGACUGUUUUCAAUCUUGCUUGUAUAGCAAGCCUCGAGCCUUGCUGAAGAAACAAACUCAGAAGCAAGAACAGAAACACAUGCGAAUGAAAAACAAAAGAAAUUGAGAGAGAGAGUAUUUUGAAUGAAAAGAGCUGAUAUUUCAUUAACAAAUCCAGAAGGCAUAAUGCCAUUACAUAUAAUAGAUAACAACAACAAAAUGAACAAGUCUUUACCUAAUGACAUACCUAACACCACUAAAUUUACAUUGGAAAUUGUUAAUCAGCUUGCUUAAGUUUCUUUGCUGAUUUUUUCAGUCAAUCAAUCAACAAAAAACAUCAUAAGGUUUACCAACUUAGUUCAACAUGAACUAGAUUACAAAAUAAUAAUUAAAAAUACAAUCAAAACAUAACAAGUAGUUAGGCAACUUUAAGCUCCAGUUUCUGCACUUCAUAGCUCGACUGCUUGCUGCCACUUCUCCUUGCAUGGCCACCUUUGCAUGUCUUGCAUGGGAACUAAAUUCAACAAAACUCCUUCUGCCACUCGAAACAAUGACCAUUCCAAACAUUUUGAUAGACAAUACACAAUUUGCUUCACUACUUACUCACAUAGCCAAAAAAUAUCCAAUGAAACUGGCAAAGGGUUCUUCCAAAAUGGUACAUUAGCUGCCAAAAAGACAACCACCAUAUAUUCCUUCAUUCAGUAAACAGCUUCAAUAUGGAAAUAAGUUAUUAUCUUAAAAAUGCUUUUUCUACCACAGAAGAAUAAGAACUAGGCAUCUCAGAAAAUUUGCUAAAUUAAUGACUUUGCUCCCUUCAAAAUAAACAAAUGAUUAACUGCAUUAUCCCAAAGAGGUCACCAUCAACCUCCAGUUGAACUUUCAAGGAAUAAUAAUAAAAAAUAGAAGGAAAUAAGGGGGAAAAAACCCAACCAGAACUCAGUAAUAGCUGAGCCUUGAAGAUCUGUAGGUAGUAAGAGAAAAACCCCAUGACGACUAAAGUCCAGGCUUGAAAGAACCAAAAGGGAGCAACAUAUGACUAUGAUUCACUGGACCAAGAGAAUCACCAAUGAAUAAAGGAAAAAGGGUACUUUCCUUUAUACCUAAACAUACAAUAUUUAGCCUCAAAAUGGGAAAAUUUCAGGUUUUCACAAAGGGUUUAAGAAAGAGGGUGAAAGUUAAAGAACUUGUCUUUGUUUUGAUGUGUGGUACACGAGAUAGUGAAGGAAAAUAGAGGUGAGGAAAUAAGAUGGAGUAAGUGCCUAAGUGGUGAAAAAGGAGAGCCUAAAAGAGACAUUUUUGAAGGGUAGUUUAGAAGCUGCAGAGGCUUUGGCAUACAGCAGCUGAUAAUGAGAGAAGACAAACCAGAAAUGUAAGUACGACGACGAUAAAAAUUAAAAAAUUUUAAGAAUUAAUGAAAUAAAAUUUUGUAGCUUAGCGAAUUGGGACGAAGUCCACCAGUGUGAUGCCCAUAGAUCCAUACCUGGGAUUUUUCUAUUUGGGCUAACUUUCUAACUUCUCCCACCAGUCUUAAAACUUUGCAGAUUUUUUCAAUUUGAUCUGGAUUGUAUGAUAACAUAUCACUUUGAGAUUGGAAAAAAAAUUAUUUUUUUUAAAUUAGAGAAAAAAUAAAGAAACUAAAUUUCAAGCAUGCAAAGUACAAAAGAAAGAACUGUAUUAAUAAAAGAUGAGUUACUUCACUCAGAUUGGAGUACCCUUUAAACAAGUUUAUUCUUGUAGAGAAAGAAACUGGAUUUUGAUUUCAUUUGCUGUGGCAAAAUUUUUAAUUUCAACAACAGUAUAACAUAUUGAAAGCCUGCCUACAUCUCGGCAGAAAAAUUUACAAAUUCUUUCAUCAGACAAUUUAAAUGAUGCAAUGCAAAGAUUCAUCAAUGUAUGAUCUUUUUAUCAUAAAUGGCUGUUUUACUGGAAAACUUGAUAUGUACUGUCUUUCACAUUCUUUUGUGCUGAAUGGUCUCUGAAAACUGCAAUCAUCAACUAUAGAUAACCCAUUCCUCAGCGCCGCCAGAGCCGACCUUGUUGUUUCUGUUCUUGAACUUGCCUGUGUCAUCAAAGGCAGUGAGCAUUUAUCAAUGUUAUAAAAAUGGCAUAUCGAAGUCAGAUUUUACUUGACAAUACACAAAUGUAAGAAGAUAAUUCACCUUUGAUACUCUUUAGAACGCUCGAGAAACUCUUUCGCGAUGUCUUUUCUUUAAUAUGAUUGCAAUACUUGUCUGAUAUCAGCCGGACCAUUGUGUUAGUACAAAACUCCGGUAAGGAAAAAAACUCGAACACACGAUCGGAACUCGAAAAGAAAAAGAAGAAAUAGGACAGGCUCCAAGGCGUGUAUCAAGCCACUAUCUUUAAGGUUAUAUUCGCCCCCACUUAUCUUCAGUGUGCAAACGAGUUCCAAGCAAAUUAACCUCGAGGAUACAAUGAAGCCAAUGACUAUUUGCGUUUUGCACUGACGAGAAUAGUCCACUAUACACUAAGUAAUGUAUAACAAAAACUCAAUUUCUACAAAGGAUUUCUGCAGCAAUACUUUAUAGAAUAAUCUAAUAAUAUUAGAAAAUGAAGGAAGAGAAGAAAUAAUAUUAGAAUUUGUUGAUAUGAUUUCCAAAUGAAAUCCCAUUCCUAUUUAUAGGAAUUUUCAUGUCUCUUCAUAGAGACAUCUUUCAAUAGGUGUCUUUAUGAAUAAAUAAAUAAUAAUAAUUAUUCAUUUAAUUUUGUAACUAUUCAAAUAAUAUUUUUUGAAUAGUUAUAAUUCUUUUUUAAAAAAUCAAAUGAUAUAACUUUUGACCAAUGACCAAAAGUUUUAUCUUUUGAUUAAUUACACCCAUUCAUUUAUAGUUAUUGGGAUACUAUAAAUAUUUGAAAAUAUUCCAACAAUCUCCCCCCAUUUUCAAAAUAUUUAGAUUUUGAUAUUCUUGGAAAUCAAUUUGCAUAAAUAAAGGUGUCUUACGAUUGAACCUUCACUUAGUGAAAACAUGUUAAAGUUAAUCGAAAUUGUAUGGUAGACUAAGCUUUGAACCAACUAUUCCAUUUGAUUAAUUGAACACAUCUCACACAAUGAUUUCAACAUCAGUCAAUGCAUAGUAUCUAGGGACACUAUUAUAGCCAUGUGUCUAUGUCCUCUUUUCAUGAGUGCUGUCAGAGCCAAGCCCUUAAGCUCCUAGAAGCGGCCACACUUCCACUCACAUAGGUAGAUCCCAUCAAAAGUGUUCCCGUAAUUAUAACACUCUAACAUAUUUAUGUUAUGGGUCCAUUAAGAGUAAAUUACUCAUCCUUCCCUUAUCAUUACGGGUACCUAGCACUUUAAUCUUAGGAUGGAUUUAUUUAUAGUGCUAACAGUCACAUACUAAUGAUGUACUUUGUCUCAUUGAACUCAAGACUUGACGUUAUACCAAGCAUUGAGUCGAGUUUCCAUCAUGGGUGACUCUAAUUAAUAGGCUUGAGUCCCAUCCCUUUUGAGGUCCUUUUUACUGCAUCUCUAGCAAGACUUUUUGUCAAAGGAUCUGCCAAAUUUUCACUUGACCUCACAUAAUUAAUAGUGAUCACUCCAUCAGAGAUUAAUUGUCGGACAUAACUAUGUCUUAAUCCAAUGUGUCUAGACUUUCCAUUAUAUACUUGGCUAUAUGCCUUUGCUAGAGUAGCCUCACUAUCACAACGGAUAGAAAUAGGUGAAAUUGGCUUAAGCCAUAAACGUACAUCAUAAAGCAAAUUUCUUAACCAUUCUGCUUCUUUAGAUGCAGCGGCUAAUGCAAUAAAUUCUGCUGCCAUGGUGGAAUCAGUAAUACAUGUUUGUUUCUUGGAACCCUAAGAAAUGACUCCUCCACCAAGAAUGAAGAUCCACCCACUAGUAGAUGCAUGAUCUUCCAAACUUGUAAUCCAACUAGCAUCCGAAUACCCUUCUAAAACUGGAGGAUAUCCAUUAUAACACAAUCCAUAGUUAAUAGUUUUCUUUAAGUACCUAAGUACUCUAUUUAAAGCUUGCCAAUGCAAACUACUUGGAUUAUUUGUGUAUCUACUCAAUUUUCCAAUAGCAUAUGCAAUAUCUGGUCUUGUACAAGUCAUUAUGUACAUAAGAAAACCAAUUGACUUGCAUAUUUCAAUUGAUCAAUUUUCCUACCAGCAUUAGAUACUAAUUUUAAUUGAGGAUCCAUGGGUGUAGAUACUGGUAUACAGUUGAAAAUAUCAAACUUUUUAAGCACAUUUUCAAUGUAAUGUGAUUGUGAUAAAGCUAUAGUGCUUUCAUCUCGGGUUAUUUUAAUCCCAAGAAUAACAUCUUCUACACCCAUAUCCUUCAUAGCAAAGUUGUUUGACAAGAAUUUCUUUGUGUUUUCUAUUUGUUCCAAAUCCGUGCCAAAAAUGAGCAUGUCAUCUACAUAUAAGCAAAUUAUAACACCCUUUCCAUUAUCAAAUUUACUAUAUAUGCACUUAUCGGAUUCAUUUAUUUAUAGCCAUUAGCUAAAACAACCUUGUCAAACUUUUGGUGCCAUUGUUUUGGUGCUUGUUUAAGCCCAUAUAAAGAUUUAACAAGCUUACAUACCUUAUGCUCUUGUCCUGGAACAACAAAUCCUUCCGGUUGCUCCAUGUACACUUCCUCUUCCAAUUCACCAUUUAAAAAUGCAGUUUUAACAUCCAUUUGGUGAACAACCAAAUUAUAUAUAGAGGUAAGUGAUAUUAAUAGUCUAAUUGUAGCAAUUCUUGCUACUGGAGCAUAGGUAUCAAAGUAAUCAAUACCUUGUCUUUGUGUAAAACCUUUUGCUACCAACCUUGCUUUAAAUUUAUCAAUGGUUCCAUCGACCUUCAUUUUCUUUUUGAAGAUCCAUUUACAACCUAUUGGUUUGGAACCUGGUGGAAGAUCAACUAAGAUCCAAGUUUGAUUUCCCAUUAUUGAAUCCAUUUCAUCAUUUAUUGCUUCUUUCCAAAAAGUAGAGUCUUGAGAUUUCACUGCUUCUUCAAAUGUAACAGGAUCAGAUUCGGUAUUAUAACAAUAAGGUAUCUUAUUGCAUAUACUUUCACCUUUUCCUUCUAUAAGAAACAUAAUGAAAUCUGGUCAAAAAUCUUUGACCUUUUUAAUCCUCUUACUUCUUCUUAAUUCUUGACAAGAUUCAUCAUUAUUAUCAAUUUGUUUCAAUGGAAUCUCAUUCUCAUUUGAAGAAUGAAUCAAUUGUUGUGGUUGUAAUUGUCUUGAUAUAGAAUUAAAUCUAUUUUCAUCAAAAAUAGCAUCUCUUGAUUCAAUAACCGUAUUAAUUGAAAUUGAAUCAUUUGGUUCAAUUACUAUGAACCUAUAUGCCUUGCUAUUAUGUGCAUAACCUAUAAAUAUGCAUUCAAUUCCUCUUUCACCUAACUUUUUACGUUUAGGUGUUGGAACUUUUACAAUAGCUCUACAACCCCAAACCUUUAAAUAAUUAAGGUUUGGUUUCCUUUUCUUCCAUUGUUCAUAGAGGGUUAUUUUAGUUUCCUUAUUAGGAACUCUAUUCAAUAUAUGACAAGCUGUUAGAACAGCUUCUCCCCAAAAACCCUGUCCAAGACCUGAAUAUGAUAACAUUGAAUUUACCAUUUCAAUCAAGACUCUAUUUUUCCUUUCAGCUACACCAUUUUGUUGUGGUGUGUAAGGGGCUGAAACUUGAUGGACAAUUCCAGUGAGUUCAAAAUAACUUGGAUUAUAGUAUUCUCCACCUCUAUCCGAUCUUAAGCACUUGAUAAAUGAUUCACACUGAAGUUCAACUUCAGAUUUAUAAACUUUAAAUUUAUCAAGCGCUUCAUCUUUUGAAUGCAAUAAAUAUACAUAACAAUAUCUAGAACAAUCAUCAAUAAAAGUAACAAAAUAUUUCUUUCCACCUAAUGUAGGAGUAUUAUGCAAGUCACAUAAAUCACUAUGUAUCAAAUCAAGCAAUUUUGUUUUCCUUUUAACCUUAGGGAAAGGAUUUCUUGUAAUUUUAGUCAACAUACAGGUAUUGCAUUUUUCAAUAUUAUUAUUAAAAACAGGAAUUAAAUCUAAUUUAUACAUGUCAUUCAAUUUUCUAUAAUUCAAAUGACCUAAUCUAUAAUGCCACAAACAAAAUGAUUCAACCAUAUAAGCAGAAAUAGUAUUUUUAUUCUUAUUAAUAAUAUUAAGUUUGAACAUGCUUUCAUACAUAUACCCUUUUUCCCACAAAAAUUCCUCCCUUAGACAAAAUAAACUUAUCUGCCUCAAAAACAAGUUUGAAACCAAACUUAUUCAACAGACUUCCAGACACUAAAUUUUUCCUAACUUCUGGUACAUAAUAUACAUCAUUUAAGGUUAAAACCUUUCCAGAAGUGAAUUGUAGUUCAACAGACCCUUUGCCUUUAAUUUGCGGUGGAAGAAUUUCCCAUGUACAAGACAUUGUCAUUUUCACAUUGUGUGACUUUGUGAACAUGCUUUUGUCUUUGCACACAUGUUUGGUUGCUCCGGUAUCAAUCCACCAUGUAUUAUCAUCUUGUACCAUAUUAAUUUCAGAUAUCAUUGCAACGAACUUUUCGUUAUUAUCAGCCUUAGAAGAUGAUUUCUUCUUUAAAAAUCGAUAUUCAUUCUUGAAAUGUCCCGGCUUUCCACAAUGAUAGCAUGAGCCCUUUUGUUUCUUUUUGAACUUAGGUGCUCUAUCAGCCUGAUUGAACUUUCUUUUGAAUGGUUUAGUAGUCUGUACUUCCUCCGUAACAUGUACUUUGGCAUUUUCAGAAUUUAGGUUCUGAUCUUGUUGUCGAUACUCUUCUUCAAUACGAAGAUGAUUUGCCAAAGCCUCAAGAGAUAUUUCCUCUUUCUUAUGUUUUAGACUUCUUUUAAAGUCUUUCCAAGAUGGAGGAAGUUUGUCUAUUAUAGAGGAUACCACAAUUAUUUCAUCCAUUUUCAUAUCAUAUUGCUUAAAUUGAUUCAACAUCUUUUCAAUAUCACGAAAUUGUUCCAUAACAGAACGACCAUCAACCAUUUGAUAAUUAUUGAAACGACUGACAAGAAAUUUCUUACUUGUAACAUCUUCGGUCAUGUAUCUUGCCUCCAAUUUGUCCCAUAAAUCUUUAGCGGUGACGUCGUUUUGGUAGGUGUCGAACAAACCAUCAGAUAAACCAUUCAAUAUGUGGCCCAUGCACAUGUAAUCAGCAUUGUCCCAUUUUUGUCUUUCUCGGGUUGCAGCAAUAGAUUCGUUUUCAUUCUCUUCAGGUCUUGGAGUAUCCAAAACAUAAGCAAUCUUCAAAGUUGAUAACAAAAAGUGCAUCUUUUUCUGCCAUCGUCGAAAAUUGCCACCAUCAAAACGAUCAAGUUUAACAAAGUUGGAAGCCAACUCCCUUAGUGUUCCACUUUCAUGUGUUGUGGUAGUCAUCAUGAAAUAUAACCUUAAAAUUGUUAGUACAAAACUCCGGUAAGGAAAAAAACUCGAACACACGAUCGGAACUCGAAAAGAAAAAGAAGAAAUAGGACAGGCUCCAAGGCAUGUAUCAAGCCACUAUCUUUAAGGUUAUAUUCGCCCCCACUUAUCUUCAGUGUGCAAACGAGUUCCAAGCAAAUUAACCUCGAGGAUACAAUGAAGCCAAUGACUAUUUGCGUUUUGUACUGACGAGAAUAGUCCACUAUGCACUGAGUAAUGUAUAACAAAAACUCAAUUUCUACAAAGGAUUUCUGCAGCAAUACUUUAUAGAAUAAUCUAAUAAUAUUAGAAAAUGAAGGAAGAGAAGAAAUAGUAUUAGAAUUUGUUGAUAUGAUUUCCAAAUGAAAUCCCAUUCCUAUUUAUAGGAAUUUUCAUGUCUCUUCAUAGAGACAUCUUUCAAUAGGUGUCUUUAUGAAUAAAUAAAUAAUAAUAAUUAUUCAUUUAAUUUUGUAACUAUUCAAAUAAUAUUUUUUGAAUAGUUAUAAUUCUUUUUUAAAAAAUCAAAUGAUAUAACUUUUGACCAAUGACCAAAAGUUUUAUCUUUUGAUUAAUUACACCCAUUCAUUUAUAGUUAUUGGGAUACUAUAAAUAUUUGAAAAUAUUCCAACACAUUGCGGGCUACAUCUGUGAACAAAUCAAAACAAAUGGUACUAUAAUCAACAAAUGAAUAUAGGAAACAUAAAAUUUGAACAAAGGCGAUGUGCAGAGGAAAAAGCAACAACAUAAGACUUACAUUCAAGAAAUGGAAUAAGGUCUAAAAGUGCGGUAUCAUCAGUCUCGACCUUAUAUGGCUUAAUAUGGACACAAUUUUCUGGUUGAAGGCUAGAAUCAAAUGCAUGAGCACUCACAUAUAAAAUCUUGGUUGGAUCCCUGUUUAGCUUUGAAAGAUCCUGCCAACAGGAACUAUUUGUUAACAAUAAGGCUUCUUUUUAAGUAGCAGCUUGUAAAGGCACUGUCUCAUAUAUUAAUUCACAUAGUAUUGUAGAAACUAAGGAGGAGAAAACCAAAAGCAAAAUGUUUUGAAGGGAAGAGAUUGACUAUGACAUGGUAAAAGUAUCAUGGAGGCCCCUAUGUUAGGAGUUAGAUUGCCUUUUGCCCCCUUUACUCAAAAACUGGAUAAAUUAGUCCCUAUAUGUUAGAUUAAAGAGUAAGCUAGACUUUCUGUUAAAAAUUUCAUCCAUUGCUACUGUUAAAAACUGGUGCAGUUGAUAAAAUAACCAAACAGUUACACAUAAUGUGUCACGUGUACCUCAUGCUAAUGUAUAUGGACCAAUUUUUAACAGUAGAAAUGGAUGGAACUUGUAACAGAAGGGCUGGUUUGCUUUUUAAUCUAAUUUACAGGGAUUAAUUUGCCCAUUUUUUUAGUAAAGGGGUGAAAUGCAAUAUGACUCCUAGUAUAAGGGCCUCCAUGGUACUUUUACCACUAUGACAUACUCUAUAAUGCUUGCCAUCCUGAUAUUUAGUAGCACCCCUUGAUAGCCUAUAUCGUAUACAAUGGUUAGUGUCCAACCUUUCACAAGCAGGAUCAACAUACCGCAUAGCCAAAAACAAAAUAAUUAUGAACUUGCAGGCAACAUCAGUUAUAGUAUAUCUGAAAAAGAUAAGGAAAAAAAACUGUUACUUUCAUAUCUAAUUUCUUUAUAGUAUUAGGACAAACUAAACAAUGGAUAUAUCACAUUAUUAAGACUUAGCUAAGGAGCCGCUGAUAUACAUUCAAAUGAUCAAUCAUAAAGGAUGAACUAGGAGGCCUAAUGAUAAAUCAAAAUUACACCUAAACCAGUUAUAUGUCUAAAGGCAAUUGCACAUUAUAUCAAUCAAACAACUAAAAUAAAUAGAGAAAAUCCUUUAAAAUAUUCAAUUUCUAAACAAAAUCAAACUCACAUCAAUAGCAGAUCUUGACAAAGAAACCCAAAAUCACAAAUGAUCCUAUCUUUUUAAAAGGGGAAAAAGAAAACUUACUAUAAGAGAGAUAACCAGCAUAGCCAGUAGUUCCAGUAACACCUGCAAUGAGUCCGUACUUGACAAAGCUCUAAAUUUUCCCUCCCGAAACCUGUGGGGCAACUUUCGGCGCCAGAGGAGGAGGUGUCGACUGAUCGGAGAGAAUGGAUUGUGAAGAACAAUCCAAACUUAAUUUACAAGCAAUGUGGAAAUUUUGGACGUUGCAGUAUUGACUACGUUUACUUGAGGGAAAACAAAGACAUGAAUGCUGGAAAUUUUAACUAGUUUGUACGGUCAAUGAAGCUACCUCGAAUGUUAAAUAUGUUACUCUGCAAUGCCAUUGUAAAUAUGACUGUUAAAUUUGUUGAUAGCGGAAUUGUUCCACUCAAGUUAUUGUGGGACAAAUCAAGAAUUUGAAGAAAAGUGACAUUGCAUGUUAAACAAGAGACCUCUCCAUUGAAACUAUUAUUUGAGAUCAGAAAGACAUUGAUUGUCGAAGCUGGAAUCGGAAGAUUUCCACGGAUCAAAUAGGAGCUUAAGUCAAGAACUACAAUAUUCUUCCAUGGAAAGUGCAAAACUUCUGUCAAAGAGUUGCUGUAAUUGGAUUAAUCUCAUCGUUGCUGCAAUCUUUUGACAAAUCGAAUCUUAAAUAUGUUACUCUGCAACGCUAUUGUAAAUGUUACUCUUAAAUAUUACUCUGUAACUAGAUUGAUGGCUCAAUCUUGUUUUUAACAUUGUUAUGGGUAUUACUACUUUCAUGCUUUGAUACGCGAUACCCUCUUUCUAGGUGACAUUUUUGCUCCUUCCGGGCCACCAUGGGCUCUCUGCAUCACUCACCAACCUCAUUAGAUUCCCCGGGUGCCAUUUGGCCAUCUCAAGUCUCAAAAUAGCAUCAAAAUGCACUCUAAUAAUUUAUUAAUAUAAAGAACUAAAACAAAAUAAAAACACAACAAAGAUAUCUAAAUUGCACGAAAAUAAGCUUUUAAGUGUGAUGGAGAGUCUAAUUUGACAUAUCAAUUAAUGUUUGACUAUCUCCAUCUCACUUUUUAUUAAUUAAGGAAUAUGAAUUAGAAUUAAUAUAAACUUACUAUUUUAACAUUUCAUAAGCAAAAGCUAAAAUAAUAUUGGUCACAUCCCAUAUCUUCAUAUAUAGCUUAUCAGACAAAAGUUAAAACAGCCUUCAGUUCAUCUACAUUCUACAUUCCACGUCGAAUCUGCAAGCAUCAAAUAUUAACCUUUGAACUCCAAAAUAACAACACCAAUUUCCAGCAAUUGCAGAAGAAUGUCCAAUAAUUCCACACAAAUUAACAACAAUUUGCCAGCAUCCACUACAUUCGUAUGAAUUCCACACAAAUUAAGACUGGAAACUCUAACUUGUUCAUACCCUCAAUGAAGCUACCUAAAAGUUAUGAAUUCCACUGCAAAUUUUGUAUUGCUUGGAAUGAAUUGACUGUAAUUUCCUAUUACUUGCCACAAAAUUUUCUUUUACUGCUAACUUGUAAAAAAAUUAUGAAAAUACAACAGAGAUCAUUGAGACAUUUUGUUCUCCUUUCUCCUUUACUGAGCAGUAGCAAAGAUUAUCGAGACUAAAUUGAAAGUCAUGAAAGAAGACAUAAACAACACCACCAUACAAAAUGUUACACUCAAACAAACCAUUACAGAUAGUACGAAAUGCAAUGAAAGACACAGGAAUUGGUACAACAAUAAAGACAGACACAUACCAAUGCAACCCUUCACCAUAGGCAAAACGGUCUACAGAAUAAGAAAUUAUGAAAAUACAACACUAAUUCUUGAACAUCAUUUCCAGUAAUUAGAUCCUUCUUCGUCUAUUGCUUCGAUUGCCUUUCUUUGACUUUCUUCUUCGCCUCAUCUCUUGUUGGUUUUCAACCAAAUUCACCAACCAUUUCGGCUUACCAAUUUGGAAAACAACAUAUCCCACGGACAUUCCGAACACCACUCUGCAUCCAUAACCUAUCAACACCACUUUCCAACCAAAAGCAAUGUUUGAUUUUGAGCCAUCUUUUUCAAGCGCAUUUGGAGGUGCUGGCUCAAUGAUGUUGCAACCUUUCGAGACCGGAAACCCACACAGUCCAUUAUUCCCUUCAUAUGAAUCAUUUCCAAAUGUGUUGAAUUGUUUUCCUUGAGG
rnacentral:lncRNA from 1 species